UCAGGGCAAACCUUAGGGUAGCUUUGGUUGUGGAGGAGAACGGUUGGAAAGUGAAUUCUCGUGACGAACAAGAUCAGCGAUGAGAAGUGCUCGAUAAUGAUGAGGUUCCGGUACGGGAAAGAUGAAGAAGCUUGCCUGGGGAUUGUAGUGGGUGGAAGAUGGCCGGAGAGAUGUUUCUCACGGUGACCCGUGGUGACGGUGGUCGGUUGAGCGAUCAACGAGGGGUAGGAACUGUUGGACGUCGUGGACCCCUGGGACGAGACGAUAGAGCCGGAUUGGUUCGCUAUGCCAACUUCUCCGCGAACCUCAGGGUUCUCCUGCUCACAGGCUAAGCCUCCACAGCUCACGCGCGUGUGCCGCUGAGACACGGCCGGCACACUCGCGUAGCUUCCUGUAGGACCGCCGCACCUGAUCACAUCUCCAGUGCACCGCUUCUGCUCUGCUCCCACACCAACGGCCCCCAUCCUGCAUGCGCGUGGUCGGUUGUCUUGCAUACGCACGCGUCUGCGGAAACGAAUCGGGCCGGCCGUCAGUCCUGCGUCGCGCGUUGGACCCGCGUCACGCUGCUCUUGCCUCGACCUCCGCAUGAGUGGAGGGAGCUCGUCGUGCCUGGCUGCACCGUGGCACUCAACCAUCUCCUACACCACGUUCUGCGCAUCCAACCGCCUCGCCGCUGCGCAGCUGCUCCUUCCGAGUUCGCCGCGCUAUAAUCGCCGCCUUCGCUUCGCCACUUCUCCUUCCAGCUCGCCGCCUCUCGUGCAUCUCACGAGCGAGUGAGCUCACGUCCUUGAUACGGCCACUCUUGCACCACCAGAGAUCUCCGUGGCGUAGUCAGGGUCGAUGCCACCGCGUUCCCGCAUCUUGCGCAAAAGCUUUCCACCACAACUCCUCCUGCGCGUGCCAUCGCUCUGCACGUCGUUGCCCUGCACAGUUACUCCUCUUCUCCUGUUGCCGGACCCGCGCUUGCUCCGGCCUUGCUGUGUCAUUCCCGCGCAUGCCCGAACCGCGUGCAUUCUCGACCCGCGUCAUGUCUUGUUUACACCGCCCGUGUUCUGCUCGCACGCUGCCACGCCACGGCCGCAGCUCCACUUGCGCCUGCGCCGCGUGCCUGCACUGUUAGCUGUUUGCGCGUCCACGCUCCUACGCCGCCACCAUCCGCGCCUGCCCGCGUUGCUGCUCAACCCGCGCGCCUGCGCCGCGCCUGUUCCAGCCCAGUGCCUGCUGCACCAUCCGCACCGCGUUCCUGCGCUGCUUGCCCGCGCUAGCGCCCGCGAGCCACAGCCCCGCGCCACCCGAACCGCCCUGCGCCGGCUCGCCCCCGCGCACCUCCAUGCCUCCCGCGCGCGCUCCGCACCUGCUGCCACGCACGCCGAGCCGCCCCGCUCCAGCCGUCGCCUGCGCCAGCGCGCUGCGCGCCGCCAGCCCGCACUCGCCCGGCGUCGGCUCCGCGCCGCCUGCCGCCGCGCCGAGCCGCCGUAGCCGAGCGCGCUCCCAUGCGCCCAAGCCGCGUUAGCCUCAGGCUCGCCCGCGCCGCCCGGCCCUCGCGCACCUGUGCGCCUGCUGCGCGUCCGCUGCUUGCUCGGCCGGUAGUGGUGAGAGAGAAGGGGGGCCAAAAGAGAUAAGGAUGGAGGCCAAGAGAAAAACGCCAACGGUGGAAACAAAAGGAGGCGCCAGGAUAAGGAAGAACAGAGAAGAAGGACAGAUGGAAUUUCCCAAGGACUUAUGCGCAAUUUCAGAAAAUUGCAGGGACCUUUCUGUAAAGUAUAAAUUUCACAUUAAUCUAAAGCCCUAAUGAAGAAAUGCCCAAAAUGAAAGUGGAGAGUUUUUCAAACUCUACAACAUUGCUUUAGAGCUCAAGUUCAAAAACUCAAAACUUAUAUCUUUACACGUGAACUUUUGAACAAAAGUUGGAUUUGAAUUACUUUUGUCCUAAAGAGUGUAACUUUAUAAAAUUUAGGACCUAAAUGCAAGAAUUUAUGACACGUCAUGAUGACGGGAUAGACAUGUCAUAAUGAUUGGAUAGACAUGUCAUAAUGACUUGCACCUUUUACACUUUAGUCCUAAGUAACUUUGAGAAUUACUUUUGUAAAUCAUCUACUUGCACAAAAGGACUUGUACUUUUAUAAAAUUACAUAAACACCCUUAUUUUUACCAUUUUACCCAAACUUUUACACAAUUCAACACUUGCAUUUCUAAUGCAACUUUUGGAUAAAUAUAUAUUUUUUUACAGGGAAUAAAGUAAGAAUAACAUGUUUACAAAACCACCUUUCACUUAUUUUGAAAUUACCCUUAUCCAAAUACACUUUGCAAAAAUAACCCUAGGUUUUUCUGUAAUUAUAAAAAUACCCUUUUUACUUGCACUUUAAAUUUUCAAAAGCUUCACAUAAACACACACAAGCUUUACACUAACAAGCACAUACUUCACACUAACAAAUAAUGUGCCUAGUUUACAAGUACAUGAACUGUCACAAGCAUAUCACCCGAACCACAUCACCCCGGCGCAGCUGCUAGACCACACCCCUACCCAUCUCCAAGCUCUAGUACGCCGAAACACCACCGCCAUCGUCAAGCUCCACCGCCGCCGUCUUGGGUCACCGCCGUUUUACCUAUUCUGGCCAACACCAACCGUCACAUCACCCUCAGCAAGGUUUCCCCUAGUCCCCUGAUCCUUCCCAGCCAGCUUCCCCUCGCCGCCGGCGACCACCACCAUCGGAAUUUAGCCGGCGCAUCUCAGCUUCUCUUCCCCGACGAGCAAGGACCCAAUUGCUUUGAUUCAAUUCUUUCUGAGGGCCUGGCUGCAAGAUUCCAGUCCCUCCCCUCAUUUCAAAAUCAGUAAUCUUUAGAAAUUGGUAGAAAUUUAUAGAAAAUUCAGAAAAAUGUCAAACUUGUUUUGCUGAAAUCCUCAAACAAAAUCUUACAACUUUUUUUACUAGAGUUCGGGUUGAAACCAAAUACUUUUUGGGUUAUUCUAAUGAUUAGCAAAAGGGGUACCUUGUGUGUAACUUGUGCAUUUUAGCUUACUUUUACGUGAUUUUUGGUAUGCAGCAUGUUUAAGGUAUAUGUAAGAUUGUGUAAAAAGUUCACCAUAAUUUAUGCACUCUAGCUUGAACUAAUUUGAAUUUAUACAAAUCAAGCUUGAAUUGGUUAAAGUUCAUUUAAACAUGAUACUAAGGUUUUCAUGCCUAGAUUUUUUUUAUCAUGUAGUGUUCUGUAUUUAAGUAGUUCAUAAUAAAUAUUUUAAGAAUUUAUGGCACUGUUUUACCUAAGGUUUGAAUUUAAACUUAACAUUUGAACUAAAUUCAAAUGCUUUAGUGUUUGUUUUAGAAAAUUAUGAAAAAUUCAUAGUAAACCCCUCUGCUAGAAACAAGUUUACCCACAAAAAUUCAAGAUCAUAACUUUUAUAAAUUUUAGAAUAAAAAUCCAUCUUGUUAAUCUCAUUCAAUUAAUCCCAUGGGUUAAGAUAAUUGAAUUGAGAUGCAAAUAAUAGGUUUGAAUGCAAAUUUCUUAUUUUGUGACAUUGUGUUCAUCAAAUUGUUGGAUUGCAACUUUAUCGUGAAGUAAAACUCUUAACUCAAGAACCAUCUAAAUCAAAUCAUUGCAUAUCAUGUAGAUUCGACUACACUCGCUGACGGAGACUACCAGUUGAUCCCGGAAUCAGAAGGAGAUAAUCCUGAAGACCCCGGGAACAUUAUCAGAGAUAUAACUGAAGCCUCGAACCAAAGUUCGGGAGAUAUUAACAUCUCUAACCCCAGCCCCACCAACGAAGGCAAGCCCCGGACAUAAACUCGCUACUUUAUUUACACUGCAAUCUACAUUUAUAUAUAUACUUGUGCAUUAAGUUCUUAGGAGUUGUCUAGAAACCCUAGUUGCAUAUUCCUAGGAACCAAUGUACUGAAUACUAGAACUUGAGUUCAAAUAGCUGCUAUACUAAUAGGACCAGUAGAAGUCGAGUGAUUGUCUGUCACUCGCGAGCUUUAUAGGAAUUGUAGUGCUUACAUUCCUGUAAUCACUAUAAGGAUGACGGAUGGGAUUUAUGUGAAGUAUCAUGGUUGAGAUGAUACCCCAUCUGUGCUGAUGAAUUUGGCUAAGGUCGCAGUAUGUGGUAGCGGUGGUUAAGCAUUUGAAAGUACUAGCCACAUGCCGUGAAAUAUGGUAAGCGGUAAGCCUAGUAACCAAUCGGCCCGGCAAGUGGACAUACCUCCCACCACUCGUAUUUGGUUUUUCCGGUUACUCACUUCGAUGUGUGGGAAUACGUGUUGCAGGGCAACCAGGAGUACGGUCAUAUAGUCGCGCUACAGACGUACGUCCUGCACAUUGGAUGUGCGUAUGGUCCUGCAGUCACUUGUGGUGGAUCUGAUCCACGAGUCGGAAUGAAAGGCAAACGGUUGCUUCAGAACAAUCGUUGGAUGCUCCAAGCGUGUGAGUUAGGUUUGCCCUUGCAAGGUUAUGAAAUUCGAUUCAGAAUCGUCCGUUUCUCGCGGAGAUUGAGACUGCUUGAUCUCUUUGCCACAUAGUGUAACAAGAGCAACCUUAUGGUUAUCAAAGAUGAUGUUUGUUUAAAAGAUUCUACCAUGCUUGAAUAGUUAUAGUUGCUUACCUAGAAUGGAUAAUUAACUAGAAUCUGAAAGCUAAAAUUUGAAAGUAAGGAUCUACUCUUUGUUGCUUUUCAGCUGAAAACUAAACCCAGAACCAUUUAAAGCCUUCAUAGUCUAGUUACAUGGCUAAGUAUACCAUGAAACGGGUAAGCCUUGCUGAGUAUUAGGAUACUCAGCCUUGCAUUGUGACUUUUGUUCAGGUAAUCCCCCUAAGGACUCUGCUCUACCUGUACCCUGGCCUUAUGCUCUUCCCGAUGGUUGGUCCGUGGAGUGGGAUCCGUCCCCGGCAAACACAGGUCCAUCCGAGUGAUGUUGAGCUUGGGCUUAGUUCAAUAUCUGUUCAGCGAUGUCUGGAAGUGUCGUGUCUUGUCUUUCCGCUGCAGAUACUCUAACUUUAUACAAUUUGUAUAAAUUCGUACUAGCUAGGUUUUUAUACUUUGGAUGUAUACCAUGUAAUAUUAUAUCGGUGAUGUAAAAAUGGUUGGCAUUUGUAUCUCUGGACUCGCCUUCGUGCGAGGUACCUUGUUUUGAUCCUGAGUUAGGUGGUUUUAUCGGGACUUUACCUGACAGGCCAAGGGGUUACACCAUUUGAAGUACAUUGGAGCCCUUGAGAGAGGACUUGCGUACUUGAGCCGGUAUAAUUCAGGUUGGUUCUGCCACAAUUGCCCCCUGAAAGUUGUCGUUGAAGACCUUCUUGAGCCGCUCCCAGGAGUCGAUCGAUUUGUUGCUGAGGCUCUCCAACCACGUGAGUGGCGCAGGGUCCAAAACCAUCGGGAAAUAGACGACCUUGGUAAUGUUGGAGCCCCCCACGACUUCAAUGGCGGUGGAGUAGCAACGCAGCCAUUGUUGAGGAGCUUGCUUGCCAUCAUACUUGGUGAUGCCGAUCGGCUUGAAGCCCUCAUGGUACUUGUAACUGCUAAACCAUGUGGAGAAAGCUGGAAAAUGGUCGCUGCAGUCGGUACCCUCUGUCUUGGCUAUUUCGCGCUCUUUGCGCCUGAAAUUGAUCACGGACCGCGCAUCGCGUCCUUCAUUGAUUCGUUGGUGCAGGUCUUAUAGAGGAGGCCGAUGAUUGGCCUAUCGCGGGUUACCCCCUGGAGGUGGCUGCUGCCUCCCGCCAGGGGCCUGACUCCCACGAGCGUUAUCAUUGUUGCUGCGCUGAGGUCGGGGACAGCCGCCUGCCGUUCGACUGUGAGCCUGGCUUCGGUUUUUGCCCAUGCGCUACUACUUGAGGGUAGACAUCGGGUUUUGUUGAUCAAGCUGAAUCCAAGCCCUCUGUGCGUAAUGAAGUGCUUGACGCACGUUUUGAUCGUUACUACGCUCGAGUAUAGCUGUUACCCUGGUGAUGUUGGCCACCGGAGUCCUGAAACCCCGCUCGCUGACGGUAGCAAAUUCGGCGUCAAGCUCACGAUGCAUAGAUCGCAUGUGCUCAUUGACCCUCCUUUGGCGGGCUGCGCGAGCUCUGUUCCGGGUCCUCCGUGCCUCACGAUCGGCGUCGUUUUGAUCACGGGCGUUGGCUGUGGCCUCAUCUUCAGAUACCGCAUCAAAGUCGACAACGGGCAAGUCACCAUCAUCCUCGCCUUCUUCCGCCAUCAGCACCAGGCGUGAGAUGAGCUCAUCGAAGCUCGCAUUGACUAGCUCAGUCGACUCCUCUGCCACGGUGGCUAAUGGCCUGCCUUCCUGAAAAGGCACGGGCUCGAGGUGUGCCACAAGUCGGUCCUCGGCCUCGAGUAGAUCAGAAAGUUUCAUGCCCUUCCAAUACACGAAACGCCCCUCCGGAGUGGAGGUGAUUAUCAGACUGUUGGCACCAAAACAACCCGAAGCCUCCCGACGCACGGUGGCUUCGGGCUUUCUGAGUUGGAGUAGAGAGUCCAAGUCCUUCUCCAAUGUGGAGAGGGACUCGGAGACGUCGGCCUCCUGAAGAUCAGUGGCCAAAUUGCGUAGACCGAGUCGUGAUCGGCUAUGUGAGUCCUCAGAUUGGAACGGGUCCAACCCGAGCAAGGUUGUUGCAGCGCUGGAUGGAGUCGCACCGAAAGCAGACUCCUCCUCAGUUCUCGUAGCGGAUCCAUGGAUUGACAAGUCAUCAAGAUUAUCAACGAACUUGUCGAGGUCAAUAUGAAAACCUGCCGCGGGAGUUUUCGGCUUCAUGUCGACGAGAAAUCACCGAAAACUGCCUGUACCACCUGCGAUGCAGACCCACGAGCCAAAAACAAACAUCAUACCCUGAGAAGGUACUAACCUGGUGAACUGGAAAGAUGCCAUCGAGUUCACCGGUGGAUCUUCGAUGCGCUCCCCUACCUGGCGCGCUAGCUGUCGGUGUUUUACCGGCUGCCCACUGAGGGGUAUACCCAAGGUGGUAAGUUUAGGUGAGGAACACAAGAUUUAGAUAGGUUUGGGCCGUGAGGUGCGUAAUACCCUACGUCCUGUAUGGUGGAUUGUAUUGCCUUGGGUGUAGAAUGUUGUCUUUUGAGGGGGUCCCUGCCCCCCUUACAUAUCCGGGAGGAUAGGGUUACAUGAAUCCUAACCCAUUACUAGCCAAGGAAUCGUACCCGAGUAUAACUCGAGUAGUUUCCUUCCAUACUGACUAGCUUUAUCUCCUUCUCACACGAGUAGAGAACAACAUAAAUAAGAGAUAAGAUAGGCUUUAUCUCCUAAUCCUAUUUAAACUACGUUAUGUACAUAGUCCCAUAGCCCCGGGUCUGACACUUCAUCCUCCUUCUGCGCACGCGCAGCCCAGAACGCCGCGCCGGCGAUCUCACUCUCCGCUGCCGUUCUAAUUCUAGUCGAACUGAAGUUCCACCCUUUCUCCUCCUUCGCCAAGAGCACCAUCAGCACUACAUCUCCACACCGAAGCUCCCUGACCAAUUUCCUUCGCCUUCCUGCACUCCAAUCGCCGGACCACCAUCGCCGCCCUCGAAACCUCGCCGCGCCGGCUCUGUUUCUAGUUGAACCGCCGCCUCCAAGCUUCGCUUCUAUGAUUUCAACCACCCCCAAGUCCGCUGUGAGUUCCUGAACCUUUUUCCCCACCUUCCCCUCGCCGCUGGUAAGCCUCCUCGCCGAAUUUUGAUCGCCGCCGCUCGACUUUUUCUGUUCAAGUCGAUUAGGGACCCAAAUGCAAGUCUCUAUUUCUUUCUAAGGUUUUUUCUAUAAAAUAGCAUGAAUCAAUCAGUUACAUGCCUAUCAGCUACACAUCCAUCGGCCACACGCCCAUCAACUACACGUUGAUCGGCUACACCUCUAUCGGCUACUUUUAGUGAAGAAAAAUCACACCCGAUGCGCGCACAAAUUGUUAUCUAGGUUAACACCUUAAGCAAGUAUCGGCUAGACAAGCCGAUGCACACCCCAAUCAGCUAGAUAAGCUAUCUGAAAAACAUGCUGUGAAGUAGAUCCGAUCAGCUUUGUAGUAACCGUCACCCAAUAGCCGUUUUGAAUAAAGUUUGUACACCAGAAACUCUACUUAAGUUUAUUUCCUCCAAAUAUUUUUGUUGUUUGUACAAAUUAGUUAAGUCUUGAAGUGAUGUAUUGAAUGUUCUUGUUGGAUUGCAACUUUAUCGUGAAAAUAAAAUAGUAAAAUAAUAACCAUUUGCUUCAAAUAAUUGCAUAUCAUGUAGAUUUGAUGACACUCGCCGAUGGUACCUACGAGCUAAUCCCAGAACUCGACGAGGGUAUUUCUGAAGCUCAAGUGAACAUCGCCGAAGAUCUUUCCGAAGCCCCAAACCAAGGUUCAGAAAAUAUUGACAUCACUAACCCCAGCCUCACCAGUGAAGUAAACCCUCAGUGCAUAACCCAGUAUUUUAAAUUAUGCACUUAUAUCGUUAUAUAUCUAUCUUGUGCAUUAAGUGCUAGGAGUUGUUAUGAAACCCUAGUUGCAUGAAACCUAGGAACCUAUGUAAUUUUUCCAAGUCCUUAUCGAGUAGAUGCUCUGCUAAUAGGAUUGGCAGAAGUCGAGUGAUUUCCUGUCACUCACGAGAUAUAGGAGUUGAUUGUUUACUAUUUUGCAAUCACUAUAAGGAUCACGGACAAGGUCAUGUGCAGUAUUAUGACUUGGAAUGGUACCCCGCCUGUGUUGAUCAAUUUGAUAAGGCCGCAGUGUGUGGUAGUAGUGGUCAAGUGUUUGAAAGUACUAGCCACAUACCGUAAAUAUGGUACGCGGUAAGCCUAAUACCUGAUUGGCCCGGCAAGUGGACAUAUCCCAUACCACUCGAAUUUUGGUUUAUGUACACACACACCAACGUGUGGGAGUACGUUCUGCAUAGCAGAUGGGAGUACGGUCAUACAGUCAUGCUGUAGACAUACGUCUUGCACAUUGGAUGUGCGUAUGGUUCUGCAGUCGCUUGUGGUGGCGCUGAUCCACGACCCAGAAUAUGAGGGGAAUGGUUGCCCAGAAAGAAAAGUUUUCGAGCAUGUGAUUUAGGAUCCCUUGCAAGGUUAUGAAAUUUGAUUCAGAAAUUGUCCGUUUCUCGCAGUGAUCGAGACUGCUUGAUACUUCUGCCACAUAGAGUAACAAGAGCAACAGUUGAUGGAACAAUAUUGAUGUAUGCUUUAAUAUCUACCUUGCUUGUCUAGUAUAGAUGCUCACUUAGAAUGGUUAAUUGAACUAGAAUUUGAAAGCUAAAAUAUGGAAAUAAGGACAAACUCUUUGUUAUUUUUCAGCAAAAGAAAACCUAGAGCCUUUCAACCUCUCACGGUCUAGUUAUGGGCUAUGUAUAACCAAUUGACGGGUAAGCCUUGCUGAGUAUUAGUAUACUCAGCCUUUCUAGUAAUGUGGUUUACACGUAUGUCAUUCAAGGACUUAGUUGCUAGUUCUCCUUGGACCUGCACUUUACUGCCUGGCUGGUCCGUGGAAUGGGAUCCGUCCCCGGCCAGCAAUGACUCUUCGGAAUGACGUCAUGCUUUAGGCUAAGUAUGGUGCCUGUUUUGCGAAGAGUAGUCGCGAUGGUCUGCACACUUAAGCCGGAAUAAUUCAAGCGGCUCUACCACAGACUGCUAUCAGAGCUAACAAGUGUACACCGGAGAUAUGAUAUAUAUACUAUACGCUAUCAGAGCUAACAAGGUAUUUUGUAAAAUUGCAUUGGUUUCGUUAAGGAUUGUGCUUUGUACGUAAAGCCCUAGGGAUUUAUAUGGGAGUUAUCAGGUAGCUACUAAUAUAUAUAUAUAUAUAUAUAUAUAUAUAUAUAUAUACACACAGUACAUUUAUAGUACUACUCUAACUUCCAGCACUACAUUUCUGUAAAAAACUUACUUUUGAGCACAAUCAACUUUAUAUUCUGUAGUGACGCAUUCGAUGAUGUGGUAAGAGGGUAAGGAUCCUCAGCCAACCGAGAGAGCUUGGCCUUCCUGUCGGUGAUGUGAACCGAACGCUGUUUCUCAAGCAGUGGCUUACUUGAGAUGCUGCCAAUAUACCAACAAUAAGUUGAUUAUAUUGGGAGUAUAUGGUUAGGCACAGGGUAUGGUGACCGCUGUUCAUACCCCCAUUUUAUACGUAUCCCCGUGAAUACGUUGCGAAAGUAACGUAUGUUAACGUCAUCUGUACGGCGGAAAUUGUACGGAUGCUGUUUCUAUAAGUGAACAGUAAUGUUUAGGAACGCUUUCAUGACGUGCUGGCAUGAAAGGUUCAUGAUAUAUAUGAUUUUUCUGCAGGUACGCUAACCCGGACUCGAUAGGUUCUGAACAAAUAGGAUCUCUCGCCUAGCUAUUAUAGGGAGAGACGUAUAUAUAUACUAUUCUACCGAAAUUAACCACGUAAGUCCAAAAAUAAUUGGCAAUUGUUUUUAGUUGUGAGGAUGAGUAGUACGUGCAUGCAUAUUUCAUGAUUAAACAAAGUGAAUGAAUUAAAUGCCUAGUUGUUUUAAGGAUAUCUAGAUGUUGCUUAUCAGAAGUGCAGUCUUGAAAUGGUCAUACAGACAGCCUUAGGGUUUAGUAUCUCGGCAUCUUUUAUUUCAUCCUUAAGAUCUAUAUCAUCCAUCUGAUUUCCAGCCUUUGCUAUUACCAGAAUCAUGGCGGAUUUUCCAAAGAUCUUUUGGGACCACGAGGGACAUGCUCAUAUCAAUGCCUUGCAUUGGGAGAGUUUUCCACGUCUCUUGUGGGAGUCACUUCAGUUGUUUAGCUACACCAAGCCACCGCAAUAUGAUGGAGUGGAGUAUAGUGAAGACGGUGUUCCUCGGUGCAGAGUGAAGAUGACUAUUCCUCAACAUCCAUCUCGAUCCCUGUGGCAGCCCAUCGAGAUUGAUGUGGUUGGUCACCGUCUAGCAGACACUUUUGAAGCAACAGCUCUUGAAGCUAUUAACAUUUUUUGCGACCAGCAUCCAAAUGAAGUUGUCGGGUAUCCUAUUGGUUUGUUCCCUGCAGCAGAUUCUUGUGACCCCGAGUGGACUUUUCGAGAAUCACACUUUGGACACUUACUGGGAGAUUUGACGGAAGAGACGCUACGUGCUACAGUUAGGUUUAUGAAUGCACAAUACCGUCAUCAGAUACUUCAGCGCCACGGUAUGAGCCAGAUGACCAGUAUAGCCCAAGGUUAUCACAGAAACAUUAACCGGCAGAUUACUCAGAUUGAAGAGCUCCAAGCCAUGAUCAUCGCACAGCGGGACAAAACCAUCACUCACCGAGAGGAUCAGAUCAUUGAGUGUGAUACAUUAAUCAUUCAGCGCAACACUGUCAUCGAGUUUCUUCAAGAGCAAGUCCACGACCUUACUCUUGAGCUUGACGACUCCAUCGCCCAUAUCAAUAUGCUUCAUGAGCAGUCAGCACCUCCUGUCGCACAUGAGGAGUCUGAAAGUGAAGAUGAAGAAGAAGACCCGGAAGAGAUUGAAGGAGUUUCCGAUCUUGAUUCCAAGCAUGGAAAUCCCGAACCUAAUCCUCAGCCCAAUCAUUCUUCUUUAGGCAGCUAGUCGUCUGUGGGCAACCUCGACGAUUUCUAGUCUUUUCCAAAUCAUCGACCUUCUAGAUGCACUUACUGUAGUAUAGUGUGACAUAGGGAGUGAGCAGUCUAGUUUGACCUAAGGGCCACUUGUUGUAUUAUAUGUAGCAUGUGUAGGCAUGGCUUGAUUUGUAUUUAGUAGACUACCGAGAUGUAACAUAGUAAUGACCACUAGUUUAUGAUUUAUAAUCUGAGUUUCCUAUCCGGUUAUCUAUUGAGCUAUCUAUCUGUUGCACUAUCUCCAUAUGUUUUAUUUUUGUGCGGUAUAUUUCUGAAAAUGAAAGCAAGUAUUGGUGAUUUCUAAUGGACAUCUUCCAUUGUUCAGAUGGUUGGCGCUACGCGUGGAACCCUUGAAGGUUUCAGGACGGACCAGGCUAGCGGUUCCUAACAACCGCCACCACCACCACCAAAUCUAGCAGAAGUAAUGGCACGACUGUGACAGUUCAAGUACUUGUAAGCUAGGCACAUUAUUUGUUAGUGUGAAGUAUGUGCUUAUUAGUGUAAAGCUUGUGUGUGUUUAUGUGAAGCUUUUAAAAACUUAAAUGCAAGAAAAAGGGGUAAUUUUAUAAUUAUGAAAAAAACUAGGGUUGUUUUUGCAAAAUGUAUUUGGAUGGGAGGUAACUUCAAAAUAGGUGAAGGGUUGUUUUGCAAAUACAUUUUUCUUACUUUAACCCUUGUUAAAAUAAUGUGUUUACCCAAAGUUUCAUUUGAAAUGUAUGUGUUGAAUUGUGUGAAAUUGAGUGAAGUUGAUGAAAAUAAGGACAUAGGUGUAAUUAUUUUAAAAAUAUGAGUCCUUUUUAUAAAACGGUUGAAUUACAAAAGUAAAUCUUGAAUUUUUACUAGGGAUCAAAGUGCAAGUUUGCUAGUCAUCAUUACACUGCAGAAAACUUGCAAAUAGAUCCUAAAUUUAGUGUAAAUUACUUUCCAUAGGGUAAAAACUUUAAGAUUUUGAAUUUAGUUCAAGGUUUCAAAAUAAAACCCCAUUCCUUGGUUUCUUGAACUUAACCUUUAAAGCAAAGUUGUAGCUUUUGAAAAGUACUGCAACUUUUGUUUUAGCCAUUUUCUCAUUUGAGCCCUAGAUUUAUGGGAAAUUAUGGUUUACCGAUAAGCCCCUAGGAUUUCUGUAUUUUGCAAACAAGUCCCCCGGACCCCCUCCCCUCUUCUUCUUCCUCUGGCACCCCUGCUGCUCCUCUGUUUCCCCCUCUGCCCUGCUUCGCGUCUGACGCCGCCGCCUUCCCCGGCCAUGUGCCGAGCAUCGACCGUCCCCGGCGCCACCUCCAGCUCCUGGCCGCUCCACGCGUCACUUGGACACCGGCCGCCGCCCCAGCCCGCCCCUGCUGGCCCUUCUUCACGUGCGCCACGCCGACCCGAACGCUGCCCAGUCGCCAACUUACCGCCGCCGUGGCACGGACCGAGCAUCCCCUCUUGGCUUCUGCUCUCCUGUCCACGAGCUUCUCCAACCCGUGCCCAUCCCAUUUCUCUUCUCUUCCCUUUUGCCCAGCGCCCCGAGUACCCGGACCCCCACCGCUCCUGUUUUUCUACUCUGGCGAGCUUGGCUCCCUGUGGGCCGCCACCAUCACCCCUUCCCGCACCCUACAACCCCCUGGGGAGCUUCCCCUCACCUCACUAACACUCCCAGGCCAUUCUUCGCGGCCGGAUCCCCACCGGAACCACCUCGCCGCAGUUCACCUCCUCCGCCGCCGCUUCGGUCCGCCGUGGGAACCCCACCUCCGGUCGUCCCUUUCCCUUCCCAAGACCUCCAGAAGGUGCGCCUUGAGCUCCUGGUGCUCGCUGGCCGCUCCUUCUCCACUCCCGACACCACCCCUAGCCGGAAUUUGGCCGACGAUGUCCCUGUCUUUUCUUCCCCACGAGCGUCAAGCCGAGCGCCGAGCCAUCCGCUGGAAAAUUCUCGCCGUCCCGUCCUGCCCCAUCUCGAUUCCAGCACCACAGAGCUUCCUCACCGCCCCUGCUUGCCCCUCGACCCACCCUCAUCGCACUUUGUUCUCUCCUCGACCGGAAUCGAAGGAAUACUGUGCCGCCAUUGCCGCCGGUGAAACCUGAGCCACCUCCACGUCGACAACCCCCUUCCGCCCCACCUCCAGCCGAACCAGGUACCGAAAUAGCAUCCCCAUGACUCCACGAUGCUCGUGCACGCUCCAUCCCUCCAUGUUCGCCGGCCCCUCAUCGGGAACACGGACGCACCGCCAUGGCCGCCGCCAUUCCUCGCCGUCGACCUUGCUCCGCUGUCUUUCUUUGUGCCCACCACCCACCAACAUGUGCACCCCAUCCUAUAGAUCGUGUAGGACCAGUUUCCCCUCGGCCAAACCCUCGCCACCGGCAAGAACACGCCGGUCAGACCACCACGAUCGCCGUCUUGACCCAGCAAGGACUUGAUUGCUUCGAUUUGAAAAGUUCUUGGGUCCUUUCUGCAAAAUAAUCUGAGUCUUUCAAAUCUUUUUCAGUGAACUUUGGAAAUUCCUAGAAAUUUGUAGAAAAAUCCUAAAGUAGCAAACUCAACUGUUCUAGGUUAUAUUAGUUAAAAUCUACAAGUUUUAUGUUGUGAUCUUGAGCUAAAUGUGUUUGAAUUGGGAUCUAGGUUAAAUAAUAGGAAAUAGGUGCUUUAAUUAGAUCUUUUGAUCCAUAGUUGUGCUGUAGUUGAAACUUGAAACUUAGGAUGUGUGUGUUAUGUAUAGCUCUGUGUAAAAGUUUCAAGUCCUUUACUGCUCUUUUGCUUAGACAUUUAAGUGCCUUUGUUUUAUGUUGAGAAAAAUUUAGGAUUUAUUUAAGGAUGCUUCUAUUAAUAUUUGUAUCUGAAAUUUAUAGCCUAGCUUCCUUUUUGCAUGUGUAAUCCAUAGUAAAAGUAUUAGGAUAAGUAGUAGGCUAUACACCAAGUUAUGGAUUUAUGCUUAUUUCCAAAGAUAAUUCAAUUAUGCUAGUUCUUGCUUAUGAAAAAUUAUGAAAAUAUUAUGAGGUAUUUCUCUUAAGGAGUUUAACCUGUUCACAAAAUUUCAGAACAAGAUCUUGUGUAUAUCUACAGUUAUAAAUAACUCUUAAUCUGUUAGUGCUGUUUUUGUUUAUUCUUGUGACAUAGUUUCUGUGAAGAUAAAAUCUUGAUAAAUUUACAGUAGUUUAGAAAUAUCUUUAUCUGUAGCUGAUAAAAGUUUCAACCCUAGUUCUAUAGUAGUUUGUCCUGUAAAAACGAAACAUGUUCUAGGUGUUAACUGUUUGCAAUAAUUCUUCUGAUUUAUUUACUGCAUAAAAUAUUUUAAAAAUUUUAGGGUAAUUUUGAUUCUGUUUGUUCUGUUUGUUAUAAUUUUUGUAGUAUUAGAUCUUAAUCUUAAAAUCAAAUGCUUAUAGUUUAUAAACCAUAUCUAUUAGGUUAAAAUGAAACCAGCCCUAGUUAUUUUAUGAAGUUAAGCAUGUUGUUUAGUGUAGCUAAUUAAGUUAGUCUAUACUCGAUAAAUUACUGCCCAGUAGAAGAGUGAAUGAUAUGUUUGGUAAAUAGAAUAUUUUUUGUUUUGCAUUGUUGAUAAGUUUGAUAGUCUUAGCUCAUAUUUUGGUGAUAGACAUGUAUGAUGUUAGUAACCCUUUUUCACGAGUGCUCAUGCCCUGCUAUUGUGACCUUGUCCUUGUCUGGUUUGCAAUCUUUUAGGGCCCCUUUCUAUAUCAAAAUCCUUAAUUACCCCUCUCUGUCAGCACGCUUCUAUCGGCCGACUUAUCGGCUGCAAUAUUUGGCCACACACCCUCAGCUAUACACCCAUAGAACACACCCCUAUCGGCCACAUGCCUUUUUGGCUGCACGUCUGUAGGACACCCAUCAGCUAUAUGCCUACCCACCACACGCCCUCUUUAGCUACACAUCUAUCGGCACAAGCCCAUCAGCCACAUCUUCUUCAGUCUAGUUCCGCGCUUGUGGUCUCAUCAGCCUAGACCGAUAUCAGUGUUCUGUUCCACCUGGUUCUUGUAGUGGGUCCGAUUUAGAUGACCCCAUCGGCUGUACGUCAAUCGAUUGUUAUACUGACGUAAUCAAGCCGAUGCAACCAUACCUAGUUACCUAGGAUAACACUUAGGCACAGUCAGUGCAGAGUAGGACAAUCAGCUACACGACUGAUAUGCCCUAGUAGAUAUAGGAGAACAUUAGGGAUGAAAACCGACUACACAGCCGACCCACCAAUCGGCUAAAUACACCGAGACACAAACCGUAUGGAUACAUAGUUCGACUAGUCUACCAAUACACCAUCGAUAGUUACUCGCACUAAUCAACUGGCUAUGCUGAUGCAUCACUAGACUAGUUCUACCCGAUAUGUAAAUCGGCUAAUGUGCCGAUGCACUAAAUCGACUAGUAUGCCGAUUCACAGAUCGACUAGUACACGUACACAAAUCGGCUCAGCCGAUGUUCACUAAUCAACUAGUUUUGCUAAAGCAUGGAUCGGCUCUGUCGAUACCCACGUGAUCGGCUAGAUACGUCGAUACUCACACAGAUCAGUUAAGACACAGCUGCUUUAGGAAACACCCCUUCUGCUAAAAUAAUCGAUACCUUCAUCGAUCAAUUAGGAAGUCGAUGCACCUAUCAAUCGGCGACACAGGCCAAAGUACAUAACCCUAGACCAGUAAGAUAGCACAGUCGACACGUCUCUGUUAGGCACAACCAAGGCACAUCAAUCGGCUAAACCUGAUGCACCCUCAUCAACUAAGGCAAGCCAAUGCACCAACCAAUCAGCUAAACAAAAACAUGCUGCUAACUAGAUCCAAUCAGCAAGAUCCUUCCUUGUUCUAUCCUUGAAGCACUGUACCUUUAACAUUCCUAUCCAUAUCAGCCAAUUUGACCCCAGGUGAACUCAAAUCGGCUAAUCUCUUCUGCUCAUAUACAGAGAUCGCUCCUGCAGAUUUCUCUUCCAAACAGAAAUCAGCAGAUUUCCUAAAACUGUGUAGAUAGCUCCCUCAUUUAGCAAUUCUAUCAGCUGAACCCCUAUUGUUUCCAAUCGGCUCUGUUGUAAUCCUCAACAUAUAGCCGAUUUUAAUUAGUUGUCCACCUAAAGCUCUAUCUAAGUUUAGUUUCAGAUCUUUUUGGUUGUUAUAUGAGUAAUAUGUUAAAUGAGUGUUGGAUUGCAACUUUAUUGUGAAGCAAGAUAGUUUUAUGUGCACACUUUGAAUGUAAUGUUGCAUUGCAUGUAGAUACGACUACUUCCGCAAACAGUACCUACGAGAUCUCCCAGGAGUCUACAGAGGAUGUUUCUGAAGACCAAGUGAACGUCACCAAGGGAUUAUCUAAAGCCCCGAACAAAAGUUCGGAAGAUAAUAAUACUAACAUCCCUGACUCCAGCCCCACCAGUAAAGGCAAGCCCCGGACAUAAACCCACUACUUUAUUUACACUGCAAUCUAUAUUUAUAUAUAUAUACUUGUGCAUUAAGUUCUUAGAAAUUUUCUGGAAACCCUAGUUGCAUAUUCCUAGGAACCGAUGUAUUGAAUAUUAGAACCUGAGCCCGACUAGUGCCAUGCUAAUAGGACUGGUAGAAGUCGAGUGAUUUCCUGUCACUCGCGCGAUAUAGGAAUUAAUUGUUUACAAUCCUGCAAUCACUAUAAGGAUGACGGACGGGGUUAUGUGUAGUAUCAUGGAAAGGAAGGAUACCCCAUCUGUGUCGACGAAUUUGGUUAAGGUCACAGUGUGUGGUAGUGGCAGUUAAGCGUUUGAAAGUACUAACCACAUGCCGUGAAAUAUGGUAAGCGGUAAGCCUAGUAACCAAUCGGCCCGGGAAGUGGACUCGUCCCCCACCACUCGACUUUUAUUUUAUGUUUACACGCACCGACGUGUGGGAGUACGUUCUGCAGAGCAGACGGGAAUACGGUCAUACAGUCGCGCUGUAGACGUAUGUCCUGCACAUUGGAUGUGCGUAUGGUCCUCCAGUCACUUGUGGUGGCAUUGUUCCACGACUCGGAAUGAAAGGCAAAUGGUUGCUUCGGAACGACCUGUCGGUGUUCCAAGCGUGUGAGUUAGGUUUACCUUGCAAGGGUCAAAAUUCGAUUCAGAAUCAUCUGUUUCUUGUGAAGAUUGAGACUGCUUAAUACUUCUGCCACAUAGAGUAACAAGAGCAAUCUUAUGAUGAGUAAUACUGAGGUAUGCUUUAAAAAGGCUCUACCUUGCUUGAGUAGUUAUAGGUGCUUACCUAGAAUGGUUAAUGAAACUAGAAUUUGAAAGCUGAAUUAUGAAAUUAAGGACCUACUCUUUGUUGCUUUUCAGCAAAAGCUAAACCCAGGACCUUUGCAAAGACUUCAUGGUCUAGUUAUGGGCUAAGUAUACCUAAUUCUGGGUAAGCCUUGCUGAGUAUUAGAGUACUCAGCUUUGCAAUAUGAUUUUAUUUCAGGUAAUAUCUCUGAAGACCCUACUCUUCCCAUGCCUUGGCCCUAUACUCUACCUGAUGGUUGGUCCAUGGAGUGGGACCUGUCCCCGGCCAACACUGAUCCUACCGAGUGAUGUCAUGCCAGGGCUUAGCAUGAUGUCCGUACUAGCGACGUGUAUAGUUGUCGUAUUUUAAAUUCCACUGCCGUGAACUUGAAUCUUUAAACUGGUUUGUAAUAAUUUCUAUCAAUUUGGAACCUAUGCUACUUUUGGAAGCUCUUGUAAUAUAAAUGCCUGUGAUGUAAAAUAUGAUUGCAAUUGUAUCUCUAAACUCGCCUUCAUGCGAGGUACCUUGUUGGAUCCUGCUUUCAGUGGUUUAUCGGGACGUUACCUGACAGGCCAAGGGGUUACACCGUUUGAAGUACGUUUAGAGCCCUUGAGAGAGGACUUGCGUACUUGAGCUGGUGUAAUUCAGGUUGGUCAGCUAGUACAGGCACAGCAGAACCAGUUCCGUCAUCAGCAACCAGGUCGUGAUGAACAUCCCUCUGCUAGUUACCAUGAUUUCUUCAGCACACAGCCCCCACUUUUCCAUAAGAUCGAAGAGCCUCUUGAUGCGGAUGCAUGGCUCCGCACUAUUGAGUCCAAGUUCGCACUACUGUCCGCACCAUGCUCCGAAGCAAACAAGGCACUCUUUGUAGCAUAGCAGCUUCGUGGCAUUGCUCGCAUUUGGUGGGAUCAUUAUUAUGCCAUGCAGCCAGAAGGAUAUGUAGUCACAUGGGAAGAGUUUUGGAUCGCCUUUAGGGCACAUCAUAUUCCUGAAGGGCUCAUUGAGCGGAAGCUCAAUGAAUUUUUAGCUCUUACCCAGGGAACCCACACCGUAAUGUAGUACGCACAGGCUUUCAAUCACCUGUGUCAGUAUGCGGGUUAUCAUGCAAACACUGAUGAUAAGAAGCGAGAUCGUUUUCGUCAUGGUCUGAACACCAAGCUCAAAGAACGACUGAAUCUGGUUAAGACAGACACAUUCAAUGAGCUGGUCAACAUGGCAAUUACUCAGGAAGAUUGCAUUUCAGCCCAUCAGGCAGAGAAGAAGUGGAAGAUACCCAUUGGACCCUCGACUGCUCAACCCCCAAGGUAUCGGUUAGUCCAGAAUACAUCUCCAUGAGCCCCACCCCAAAAUAAUCAGUUAGGCAGAUGGAUAGCUAGACCCCCUCAGCAGUCUAGAUACAACAAGCCACCAGUACCUCAGUCUCAACAGUAGCAGCAACAGCUUGGAUCAAGGCUGAACUUUCCGCAGUACAACCAGGGAAACAACAACAAUCGUUGUUUCAACUGUGGCAACUCAUCGCAUUUAAUCAAAAAUUGCCCUCAACCAAGGAAAUCAUUCCAAGGGCAGACUUCCAACCCGAGCAACAAGGGCAAAGACAAGAAGCAAACUGUACAAGUCCGCCAAGGAAGGGUGAAUUUCAUGACUCUCUCUGAACUUCCUGAGGGUGCACUAAUAAUGACGGGUACUUUUACUAUACACCAUCAACCUGCAGUUAUACUUUUUAAUUCCGGUGCAAACCAUAGCUUUAUCAGUCUAAAGUUUGGAACAAAAGUAGGCUUGGAUUUCUAUCAUACUAAAGGAACAUAUAUGAUAGCGACUCCUGGCGGUAAAAUUGCUUCAAAUCAAAUCUGUAGAGAUGUGCCAAUUCAAUUGGGUAGCAACUUGAUAAAUACAGAUUUAAUUUUAUUAAAUCUAGAAGGAAUGGAUAUCCUACUAGGUAUGCAUUGGAUGAUUAGGCACCAAGUAUCAUUAGAUAUCUCUUCCUGAGCAGUUGAGAUAGACUCACCUGAUUACAGAGCUACUAUUUGUGGCAGAACCAACCUGAAUUACACCGGCUCAAGUGCGCUGAACCUUUCUCGGAAGGUAUUAAAGGCUCAACCGCACUUCAAAUGGUGUAACCCCGUGGUCUGUCGGGUAACGUCCCGAUAAAACCACCUAACUCAGGAUCAAAACAAGUACCUCGCACGAAGGCGAGUCCAGAGAUACAAGUGCCGACAAAUUUUACAUCACAGGCAUAAUAUUACAUUAGUGUUCAAACUUAUAUUGUAGCGAAACUAACUAGUACAAAUUUAUACAAAACUAUUCAAACUUAGAGUAGCUGCAGCGGAAUUAAAACUCGAUACUACGGGGUGUCGCGGAACAGAUAUUGAGCUAAGCCCAAGCUGAACAUCACUCGGAAGGACCUGUGUUGGCUAGGGACGGAUCCCAUUCCAUGGUCCAACCAUCGGGGAGUGCAUAGGGCCAUGGUAUAGGCAGAGCAGAGUUCUCAAGGGGAUUACCUAGAACAAAAGUUAUAUUGCAAGGCUGAGUAUCCUAAUACUCAGCAAGGCUUACCCGUUCAUGGUAUACUUAGCCAUGUAGCUAGACUAUGAAGGCUUGUAAAGUUACUGGGUAUAAUUUUCAGCACGUGUGAAAAACCAAAUUACGAGUGGUGGGGGGUAUGUCCACUCCUCGGGCCAAUCGGUUACUAGGCUUACCGCUUACCAUAUUUCGUGGUAUGUGGCAAAUACUUUCAAACGCUUAACCACCGCUACCACACACUAUGACCUUAUCAAAUUUUCAUCAACACAGAUGGGGUUCUUACCAAUUUCAUGAAUCACAACCCCGCCCGUCAUCCUUAUGGUGGUUACGGGAAUGUAAACAAUGCAACUCCUAUAAAGCUCGCGAGUGACAGGAAAUCACUCGACUUCUACCGGUCCUAUUAGCUUAGCAGCUAGUCGGGCUCAAGUUCUAUUAUUCAGUACAUAGGUUUCUAGGAAUAUAUGCAACUAGGGUUUCAAUACAAUUCCUGGAAACUUAAAUGCACAAGUAGAUAUAUAUGAAUAUAUAAUUUGUAGUGUAGUAAAAUAGCGGUUUAUGUUCGGGGCUUGCCUUCGCUGGUGGGGUUGGGGUCAGGGAUGUCAAAAACUUCCGAACCUUGGUUCGGGGCUUCAGUUAAUUCCUCAGCGACGUUCACUUGGUCUUCAGAAAAUCUUUGCUCGUGUUCUAGGACUAGUUCGUAGUCCCCGUCGUCGAGUGUCGUUGAUUCUACAUGAUAUGAAAUGAUUUGAAUUAGGUGGUUCUUGAGUUAAGAAUUUUACUUUAUGAUAAAGUUGCAAUCUAACAAUAGAUAAACACAACUUCAUAAUACAAGAAAUUUGAAUUCAACCCUACUAUUGGUAUCUUAAUUCAAUUAUCAUAAUCAAUUGAAUUAAUUGAAUUAGGUUAACAAGUUUGAUUUUUAAUUUGAAAUCCACAAAGGUUAUGGCUUUGAAUUUUUGUGGGUAAGCUUACUUUUAGCAGAUAAGCUUACUAUGAAUUUUUCAUAAUUUUCUAAAAAUAGAAACUAAAGCAUUUGAAUUAAGUUCAAAUUCCAAGUUUAAAUUCAAACCUUAGACAAAACAGUGCCAUAAAUUCUUGAAAGAUUUACUAUGAAUUACUCAAUUACAGAACAUCCCAUGGUAAUAAGAUCUAAGCAUGAAAACCUUAGUAAUGGGCUUGAAUAAAUUUAAACCAUUUUGAGCUUGAUUUGCAUAAGUUUAAAUUAGUUCAAGCUAGAGUUCAAUACUGUAAGUGAAAUUUUCACAUAAGCUCAUUCAUACACUAAACAGGCCACACACAAAAAAUCACAAGCAAUAGAGCUAGCAUGCAAAAGUUACACAUAAGAUACCCUUCUGCUAAACUUUAAAAUAGCUCAAAAUGCAUUUGGUUUCACAUUAGACUUUAGUAACAAAAGUUGUAGAAUUUACUUCAAGGAUUCAAACAAAACUGGUUUGACAUUUUUCUGAGUUUCCUACCAAUUUCUACAAAUUUCUAAAUAUCACUGAUUUUGAAUUGAGGGGAGGGACUGGAAUCUUGCAGCCAGACCCUUAGAAAGAUUUAGAUCAAAGCAAUUGGGUCCUUGGCUCAUCGCGGGAGGAAGCCAAGAAUUGCCGGCCAAAUUUCGGCGAUGGUGGUCACCGGUGGCGAGGGGGAACUUGCUAGGGAGGACCUGGGGGCUUGCGCGGGCUUACCUGGGGGUGAUGUGAUGGUCGGGGUUGACCGGAGGGGGUGGAACGGUGGUGAACCGAGGCGGCGGCAAUAGAGCUCAACUAUGGUGGCAGUGUUCCGACGUAGCGGCUCACCGGCGGUGGACCGGAGGUAGGGUAAAAGCUCCAGGGAAGUAAGGCAGUUCGAUUGAUCACCUCGACGAGAGCUAGGAUGGCCGGAGGGGUGGGUUCCCAUGGCAACCCGGGACGGCGGCGAGGGGAUGAGCUCAUUGGCGGAGGGGGAUGCACUGCUCAAGGGCGGCGAUGAAGGGGCUGGUGAGCUUCACGGGAUCACAGCGAAGCUACUGGAGGGGCUAUCGUAGAUCGGAAGAGGCUGGGGCGAGCUGGCGAUGGCGCGGUGGACGAUGGCAGACGGCGAGCGCGGCGGUGGUCCAGUGGAGAAGAAGUCGAGAAAACAAACGACGGCCGUGCGAGCGGAUAUAAGUAGUUGAAAUGAGUUCCUGGUCAUGCUGUGGAACUAAGAAGAGGCACGACAAGUAGUAGCUGCUGCUGGCAGCCAACGACGGGCGUGGCGGCUGCGCGGAGCUCGGGCAGAGGCGGGGUGACGUGGAGUGCGCGGAAGAAGGCCAGAGGGGAGGAGCUAGGACGGCGGCUGACUUGGAGACGACACGUAGGUGCUGCCAGAAGCAGGAGAUGGCACUGACAGGGCUGUAGCGGUGGUGAGUGGCGGCGGUCUGCGGCGGCAGAGAGGGGGUGCAGCUCGGGCGGACGGCAGAGCGUCGUGGCGUGCUUGGGGAGGGCUAGCAGGAGGGAGGUGAGGCGAUGGGCGAGGUCAGGGGCGACGCGUGGAGCGGCGCUGGAGCAGGAGGUAGCCUCGGGCGGCGCGGCAUGGCGACCUGCGGUGGCGCUACUGCGCGGCAGAGGAGGAACAGAGGAGGAAGAAGAGGGGGGGCACCAGGGGCUAAAUUGUGAACUUUAAAACUCCAGGGACCUUACUGUAAAUCAAAAAUUCCCACUGAUCUAAGGCUUAAAUGAGAAAAUGGUCAAAAUAAAAGUUGUAGAAAUUUUCAAACCCUUCAACUUUUAUUUAGGGUUUAAAACCGAAAACUCAAAGGAUGGAACUUUAUUUAAAAACUUUGGACUCAACUCAAACUUCUCAAAGUUUUUGUCCUUAGUUAGGAAAUUUUCAUGUAUUUUUGGACUUAAUUGCAAGUUUUAUGCACUGCAAUGAUGACUAACAUUUUUACACUUUGACCCCUAGUGAAAUUUAAGAGUUGCCUUUGUAAUUCAAACAUUUUACACAAAAGGACUCAUAUUUUUGAAAUAAUUACACACAAGUCCUUAUUGCCACACAUUCAUCUAAUUUCACUCAAUCCAAUACAUACAUUACACAUUCCUUCCUAGUGUUUUAAAAUUUUGACACCUAGGGUGUCACAACCUUCCCCCCAAAAAGUAAUCUUGUCCUGAGAUUACAGGAAUGAUACAACUUGGAAGAUGGAUACCUAAGGAGUUUUAAGAAAAUCAGGGAAAUUUUUCUGAAGAUAGUCUUCAGUUUCCCAGGUGGCUUCUUCUGCAGUAUGGUGGUCCCACAAGAUCUUAUACAUUUUAAUCUUCUUUCUUCUAGUGCUUCUCUCUUUGGUAUCAAGAAUUUGAAGGGAUUGUUCGAUAUAAGAUAGAUCAGGCUCGAUCUCGAUGGCUUGUUGUUCAAUGACUUCAGUAGGCACUUUGAUGCAUUUCUUGAGUUGGGAUAUAUGAAAAAAUCAUCAAUGGCAGCUAACUGAGUAGAAAGACGAAGUCUGUAAGCUACUGGGCCACAGGGUUCGGUGAUUUCAAAAGGUCCGAUGUAUCGAGGUACUAAUUUUCCCUUUAGGCCGAAACGUUGAACACCUUUAGUAGGAGAUACCUGAAGAUAGACAUAAUCUCCUACUUGGAAUUGUAAUGGUUUUCUUCUUUGGUCUAUAUAACUUUUCUAUCUAGACUGGGUGGCCUUAAGAUUGGCUUGGAUAUGCUUUACCUUAUCUUCGGUUUCGGUAACUAAGUCUGGUAUGAAGAUUUGGCGUUCACCAGUCUCAGACCAACUCAAAGGAGUUCGACAUCUUUGACCGUACAACGCCUCAAAGGGAGCCAUUUGAAGACUGGACUGAUAGCUGUUGUUAUAAGAAAAUUCGGCCAAGGCUAGAUAUUUGUCCCAGUUUGUACUAUAGUGAAUGAUACAAGCUCGAGGCAUGUCUUCAAGGAUCUGAUUAACUCACUCAGUCUGUCCAUCAGUUUGUGGAUGGUAUGCAGAGCUUCGAAUCAGUUUGGUUCCAAGAGAAGAUUGCAAUUGCUCCCAGAAACGUGCAAUGAAUUGUGCUCCUCGAUUAAAAAUAAUUGUUUUAGGGACACCAUGCAGUCGAAUAAUUUGAUCAAGAUAGACUUUGGCAUACUUCUUAGCAGUAUAAGUUGUAUGCACAGGAAGAAAGUGGACAGUUUUGGUGAGUCUAUCAAUGAUUACCCUGAUGGAGUCAUGCUUUUGAGAUGUGUUGGGAAGACCAACGAUGAAAUCCAUACUAAUAUCUUCCUACUUCCACGAUGGAAUAGGCAGGGGUUGGAGUGUGCCGGAUACUUUUAAAUGACUAGCUUUGACUCUCUGGCAUGUAUCACACUCGGAUACAUACUUAGCAAUUUCUCUUUUCAUCCUGGUCCACCAAAAGUUCCGCCUAAGAUCUUGGUACAUUUUAGUACUACCAGGAUGAAUAGAAAACUUGGACAGACGUGCUUCAUCAAGGAUUUGUUUACGAAGUUGAUGAUUCUUAGGUAGAACCAAAUGAUUGUUGAACCAUAGAACUCCUUGAUGAUCAGUGUGGAAACAUCUAUAUUUUGCUUCUCCCUGAGAUAGUUAUUUUCAUCAUGUAAUUGCGACAUGAUGAUUCUAUCUUGAAAAGUAGAUUCGAUAGAUAUGAGAUUCAGGCUACCUUGAUGAAUAAUUUCUAGAUUGAGUUUUCUCAUCUGAUUGCAAAGAGUUUCACUAAAAACUUCUAUAGAUAGGCAAUGGCAAUGUGCCUUGCAGCUAAGUGCAUCCGCAACCACAUUAGCCUUGCCGGGAUGAUAGUAUACCUCAAGAUCAUAGUCCUUGAUUAGUUCUAACCAACGCCUUUGCCUCAUAUUUAGGUCAGCUUGAGUAAAGAUAUAUUUGAGGCUCUUAUGGUUUGUGUAAAUAUUACACUUGGCGCCCAUAAGAUGAUGUCUCUAAAUUUUGAGAGCGUGAAUAACAGCUACUAACUCAAGAUCAUGGGUUGGAUAAUUUUGUUCAUCAUUCCGGUGUGCUCUAGAAGCAUAAGCAAUAACCCAGUUGUUUUGCAUAGGCACACAACCAAGUCCGGUUCCGGAAGCAUCACAAUAGACAUCAAAAGGCUCGGUACAAUCUGGCUGAGCUAAUUCUUAAUGUAUGAAAUGCUUCUUCGUACUUAUCAUCCCAAUAGAAUUUAACCUCCUUCUUGAGUAGCUCAGUCAUUGGCUUGGCUAUCUUGGAGAAAUUGGGAAUAAAUCGACGAUAAUAUCCUGCUAGUCCAAGGAAACUAUGGAUUUGAUGAACUGAAGUUGGAGGCUUCCAAUCCAUAACUUCUUGAACUUUAGUGGGAUCAACCGAUAUGCCUUCACUGGAGAUAGUAUGUCCCAAAAAUUUCACACUAUCACACUUGCAUUUAGAGAAUUUGGUGUAAAGGCGGUGAUCACGUAGUUGUUGAAGAACGACACGUAAAUGAUCAGCAUGAUCUUCUUCAGUUUUAGAGUAUAUCAGAAUAUCGUCGAUAAAAACCAUGACAAAUUUAUAAAGCUUCGGCAUGAAGACUGAAUUCAUAAGAUACAUGAAAUAUGCCGGUGCAUUAGUGAGUCCAAAAGACAUAACCAGAUAUUUAUAAAGUCCAUAUCUGGUCGAGAAAGCCGUUUUUGGAAUAUCACUAGGCUUGAUUUUGAUUUGAUGGUAACCAGAGCGUAGAUCAAUCUUAAAGAAAACUUUGGCUCCAGCUAAUUGAUCAAAUAAGAUGUCAAUGCGGGGAAGAGGGUACUUAUUUUUGAUAGUGACCGCAUUGAGUGGACGAUAAUCGACACAUAGCCUUAAGCUAUUAUCCUUUUUCUUUACAAAGAGAGCAGGGCAUCCCCAAGGUGAAGCACUUGGGCAUAUGAAACCUUUGUCAAGAAGAUCUUGAAGUUGGAUUUUUAGCUCGGCUAACUCAUUAGGCGGCAUUCGAUAUGGCCUUUUGGAAAAAGGAGCUGUGCCAGGUUGAAGCUCAAUAAUGAACUCGAUAUCCCGAUCUGGUGGCAUCCCAGGCAAAUCGUCUGGAAAGACAUCGGGAUACUCACAGACUAUAGAAAUGUCUUUUAAUUUGAUAUCUGCGGUUGCAAACACACAGAAGUUGAAGUGCUCUUGUUGGGGUAGAUAAAGGGUAGUGGCUCCAUCAUAUGGUGAAUCAAUCUCAAUAACUCGGGAAGAGGUAUCUAAUAAUACCUUAUGUUUGAUCAUCCAAUCCAUCCCAAGUAUGAUAUCCAUACCUUCUAAAGGGAGUAAAACCAAAUCAGUUUUCAUUACCUUACUACCCAACUGUAUUGACACACAUCUAAUCAGUUGAUUGGAACCAAUUUUUCCCCCAGGGGUACAGAUCAUGUACGACCCCUUGGCUUGACAAGAAUCAAGUCCUACUCGGGCAACACAUUUGUCACUAAUGAAGCUAUGAGUUGCACCGGAAUCAAAUAAGAUAAUAACGGAUUUAUAGUCGAUAGAGAAUGUACCCGUCAUGAUGGGGGCUCCUUCUGGGAGUUCUGAAAGGGUGGUAAAGUUAACUCGCCCUUGCCGGACUUGCAUUACUCGCUUCUUUCCCUUGCCCUGAUUGUGCUGAUUAGAAUUCUGCCCUUGAAGAGGCUUCUUGGGCCGAGGACAGUCUCUGAUGAAGUGAUCCGUACUCCCGCAAUUGAAACAACGAUAAGUGUUGUUUCUCCGCUGAAAUUGUUGAGCAUUUGGCCUUGUGUCAAACUGUUGUGGCUGUUGCAGAGGCACUGGAGGUCUAUACCCUCCUUGCUGUUGGAGCGGGCGGAAAACGAAUAUGCCAGGUGGGGCAUUCCGCUGCAGCGCUUUGAUCUGUGUAUUGGGAACAACACGAUACCUCGGUGUCUGAGCACUCGAGGGUCCAGUAGCGGUCUUCCGUUUCUUCUCGGCAUGAUGUGCCGUGAUGCAAUCCUCCUGGGUUAAGGCCAUAUUAACCAACUCACUGAAAUUAUCAGCCUUAAUAAGGUUCAAGAGUUCCUUGAGUUUGGUACUAAGGCCAUGACGGAAACGAUCCUGUUUCUUGGCAUCACUGUCAGCGUGAUAGCCUGCAUACUGGCAUAGAUGAUUAAAGGUCUGUGCAUAUUGCAGUACUGUACGGGUGCCUUGGGUGAGUGCUAGGAAUUCAUUCAACUUCCGCUCCAUCAAUCCUUCAGGAAUAUGGUGUGCCCUGAAGGCAGUCCGAAAUUCCUCCCAGGAGAUAACAUGGCCAUCGGGUUGCAUGGCACAAUGGUUAUCCCACCAAAUGCGGGCGGAACCACGAAGUUGCUGGGCGGCGAAGUGAGCUUUACUUGAGUUUGCACAUGGUAUAGUAAGAAGGACGAACUUUGAUUCAAUAGUAUGGAGCCAGGCAUCGGCAUCAAGAGGUUCUUCAGCUUUACUAAAAAAAUGGGGGCUGAGUACUGAGGAAAUCCUGAUAACUUGCCACUUGGGGGUUGAGGUCAUCAUGACCUCCUCGUGAUUGCUGUCGAUACUGGUUCUGUUGUGCUUGCAUGAGCAGAUUGAGAAGCUCAGUUUGUCGUGCCAUAACCUCAGCUAGAUUUGGGGGUGGUGGUGGUGGUUGUUGGGAACCGCUAGCCUAGUCUGGCCUGAAACCUUCAGGAGUUCCACGCAUAGCGCCAACCAUCUGAGAAACAUGGAAGAUAUCCAUUACAACUGAUUAUGCUUGCUUCCAUUUUUAGAAUAUACCGCGCACAAAGGAACAGAUAGAGAUAGUACAACAGAUUGAUAGUUCGAUAGAUAACUGAACAGGAACUCAAGUUAUAGAUCAUAUCGGGUGGUCUGUGUAUUACAUUCUGAUAAUCUACCCAUUACCAACCAACCUACUCCUGCCACAUAUAAUACAACAAGUGGCCCUUAAGUCAAACUAGACUACACACUUCCUAUAUCACCAUACUAUACUAAACACAUCUAAGAUAUCGAUGACAAGGAUGAAUUAGAAGUCGUCGAGAUUGCCCACAGAAGAUUGACUGCUGGAAGAAGAAUGAUUGGGCUAAGGAUUAGGUUCUGGAUCUCCAUGUUACGAAUCUAUCUCAGACACGCCUUCAAUUUCCUCAGGUUCUUCUUCUGAAUCUUCCUCUUCUUCUUCUAGCUCAUUUGGCACAAGAGGAGGCAUUUUCUAUUCUUGGAGCAUCUCAAUAUGUCCAAGGGCAUCACCUAACUCUUGGUUCAAGUCAUGGACUUGUUCCUGCAAGAAGUCAAUUACGGUGUUGCGCUGGAGAAUUUGAGCAUCACCCUCCAAGAUCUGCACCUCCAAAUGUCCAAUGGUAGUAUUUCUCCCGACAAUUCCGUGACCAAGCGAAUGAAUUUGGUCAUCUUUCAGGGUAAGACUCCUAUGAAAAUCCUGGGCCAGAUUCACCAUAUCGUCCAUACAUUUUUUCUUAAGUGACUGUAAAUGAUACUGAGCGUUCAUAUACGUGAUCACUGUCUUGAGGGUCUCUUCAGCGAGAGUUCCAACUAAAUGUCCAAAAUGGUUUUUUCUGUAGUAACACCCUAAAAAUUCAAACUACAAAACUUAAAUAAAAUGUUAGGUUUAAAGGAGCCAUAGGGCAUUUGAUAAACAAUUUUCCUUAAUCAUAAAAAGAAAUAUAGGGAACCAUAGCUUUUGUGCAUUUCAUGCUCUUUGCAUUGUUAUUUUGGUUGUUUUCCAUUUGAAUUCAAUUUUCAUUUUUUCAAACUCAAAAUCAUUUAUUUUGCUUUUCUCUCUUUUCCCUCUCUCUUCUCUCCUUUGGCCCCAGCCCAGCCGGCCAUCUUCCCUCCUCUCCCUUCUCCUUCCCUCCUUUUUCCCCCUGGCAGCCCAGCCCAUGGCCUCUUUUCCCUUUUCCCCUUUCCUCCCCUUCUCUCUUUCCCCUCCCGAGUGCAGCCCGCAGCCAUCGCACGCGGCCCAAACCAGCCGCAACCUUCUUUCCUUCCCUCCUCUCCUUUCCUCCCCGCAUGUAGCCCACCAGCGCGGCCCGGCUAUUUUUCCCCUCGGUCCACCAGUCGCGCGCGCCCACUUCCCCCAUCCCUCUCGCUCUCGCGCUGAUAGGCGGGGCCCGCCUGUCAGGCCUUUCGUCCCACCCCCACACCGCACCGGACUCUAGCUCGAGUCCGGCUCGUCCCCGCACCGCCUCCGCCUCGGGCCCGCACGCCCAGGUACCUCCGCAGCCCCCUAAAAGAGCCGCCCAAACCCUAGGGGCUUUUCCCCAAGCCGCAGCCACCCCGCGCCCCUAAACCCUAGCCUCCGCGCCCUCCGCCGCCGCCAUUGCCGCCCUCGCCUCGGGCCAUCGCCGCGUCGCCGCUCCGCUACCGCCCGCAGUUGAAGGACCACCCCCGGAGCACCACGUGGUGCUGAGGACCCUCACCGGCCCCUUUUUCCCUCUCUCCCGCUUCUCCCGUGGCCGAUCGGCGCGCACCGAGGAUCCCCGCCGCCUCUCGCCCCUGGCCGCCGCCUACGGUCGCCACCUCUCCCUCACAACCCCCUAAUUGGAUUCACCUCAUCGCGCUCCAUCUCGUCGUUCAGAUCCAAGCCGAAACCGAGCCGGGAAACGUGUUAUCGCGUGAACUCUGGUGAAGCGCCGCCCUCGCCGCCGCCAGACCCUCGCCGCCGGCUUUCCGCGCCGCCGCCCCGAAGUCCUACCGUCGGAUCUGGAUCCAACGGCCCAGAUCCGGUCUAGCCCCGGGUCAAUAGAUUAGGGUACCGGUCAACCGUGGCCUUUUUGCGGAUUAGCCCUUACGUUUCCCGGAAAUCAACCCGCACUCCACCUCAGUUCAAAAGUAAUCGCGUUUAGGUCCUUUUUCCUCUGAUUAGACCCCUGUAGUUUUUCAAAAUAGAACCCGCCGUCCAAUAUCCCUCUGUUUUGAAGUCUAACCCCUCUGUCUAGGGUUUAAUUACAAUCUAACCCUCGGUUUCUUCUGUCAAAGCCCCUUUUAGAUUGAAAACCUUUACAGAUAGGUCCCUCGAACCCUGGUUGAACCCUAAUUUCUCCGUUUUAACUCCGAUUUCAACGAUUCUUGCGCUCAUGCGAUCCUUGCAGCAUAAACAGUAACUUUUUAGGGUUAUUGUGUUCUAUUUUUAUUGAUUGGUGUACUGUUAUUAUUUUUUUUAUUUGUUUGUUUGCAUAUGCUCGUGUGUCACGAUAGACGGUGCGCAGUUCGAGGAUGUGCAGGGCCAAGACAUUUAAGAAUUUUCUGAGCAGCAGCAGUUUGCUAACGAAGCGAAGUGGUCCUUGAUCAUGUUUCAGACCUAAUAAUAUCACAAUUACACCUUUACUUUAUAUGCAUGCAUGUGUCUAGAAUAUGAUGGAUCCCAAGUUAAGGAUAUGCCUAGUUUCAAUUUAACAUCCUUGAUUAAACCUGGGUAUUUUAUAUUCAUGUUGUAGUGACGCUAAUUGCUCCUACAUAGUUUUUGGUUGGAUAACCUGGAUAUCAUGGUAAUGUUUUAUUUAUUUUGGAAUAUUGUUUGGUGAUAAAUAAGAUUAUUGAAUCAAUUGGAACAUGGAGAACCACCCAGGAAAAUAGUACAACCACAAUACUACAUGGCUCUGGUCUUGGCUAAUUAAUUAGAAACCUUGGCUUGUAAAGGUCUUACCGAAAGGGCAAGAGGGGAGUGCAUUGAUGGGGUAUAGCUCGGUCCUCUUGAGGUGUAGAUAUGAUCCUGGGUAAGGCGUCUUCCUCAUUAGGGAGGGUUAUGACCACUGCGGCCUGAAACCUUAGCGGACCAAUACAAGUUAGGCAAUCUUUGUAAAGGCCUCGUAGUGAAUCCCUGCCACUCACCUUGGAAGUGUUUAAGGGCUUUGCAAACCCGGGCAUCAAGGGAAACACGAGUUGUGGGUAAAGUGUACAACCUCUGCAGAGUGAAAACUGAUAUAUCAGCCGUGCUCACGGUUAAGAGCGGCUUGGACCCUCACAUGAUAAUUAAACUUAAAGAUGAUCUAAAUCGCUGGCUCUAUUUUUUUAUCUCUGUGUUGUGGAUUGAUUCACCUCAGAUAGUUUGUUUAAGGGCUGGUAUAUACUUACAUUUAGCUAAUGCUUGCCUAAUUAAAACUUGACCAACUAAAAAUGCUUACCGCAGUCAAACCAUGUCAGCUUUUCCUUGAUUAUAGCCAUGCAUGUCAUAUAAUUUACUUCACUUGCUGAGUACCAACCAUAAGUGUACUCAUGCUUGCUUUAUUAGAACCAAUGCUGCUCAGAACAAGAUAAUGGUCCGGAGUUUCCUGAAGAUAUUGGAGAUUUCUAGGCGUAUGUCUCCUAGUCAACUGCCUGUGAAGUUGAAGUCCGCUGCUAUUAUCGAUGUUUAUUUAUUCGUUUAAGAUUAAGACUGUCGGUCAUGUAAUAAAGUACUAUUAUACUAUUUUUCGUUAAUGCAUUGCUUCGAAUAUUCGCUUGUGACGUCUACUGUAUGUGCGGAACUUGAUCCUGACGCACAUAUGGGAUGCAUUCAGUUACCUUUCCUAAACCGGGUGUGACAGAUGUGGUAUCACAGCCAGGUUGACUGUAGAACGUUAGCCUAGCUAGUAAUGGUCGAAUUUUAAGUCUUAUUUUGCUUAGUAACCAAGCCUUUGCCUGCUUGCUUUUGAAAACUGCUUAUUUCUUGAUUAUGUCACUAUUUUUUUCCUUUACCCCUUGAACUCAUGCUUGUCUCUCAAGUGUGUUGAUGUUUUACAAAAAUGCCAUCUUGCUUUAAGGUCACCCAUAGCAUUUUCUAAAUGUCCUCUAUCUUGCGCUGCCUUCACUUUUGUUACAGAUGGCCAGAAACAAGCAGACUGCCCGUAAGAGCACCCGUGGACCACCGCAUCCAAUUCAUCACUCACAGGAAGUGUCUGACCCAAAGGACGACUACUACGACUACGAUCAUUCCAAUGGGGGAUGGGUGGACACUGACACUGAGGAGGAGCCCAUGGAGUUGCCAGAGGACCAUCCGGAGGUCUCAAGUGGCAGCAAUGAGGGCCCUGCAGGAGGAGAUGGUGGUGAUUCAGGUGCCGCAGAUGGAGAUAAGGAUGAGGGUGGUGAUGAUGACUCCGGUGCACCAGGGGAUGACGACGACAAUCCAGAUGAUGAUCCAGAGCCAGCCGCCGCCACAAACCCACCACCACCUGAGCCUCACUAUGAGAAGCAGAUACUUCACUUGGACUCCGCUGAGGGUCCAUUCCCCAUGCUUCUCUGGAGGGCCAUGCAGAGGAUUGGCUUUCCGCGGAAGCCGCAUUAUGAGGCCCACUUGUUCAAGAAUGCACAGCAGGAGGAAGAGUGGUUGGUGUCAGUGUUGAUCUAUGUCCUGGAUGAGAGACCUAGCUACUGGGUGGAGUACUCCAAGCACAUUGACGAGGUGCCCAGGAGGACCUUGGAGGCAGGGACUAGUGAAGCCGCCAGGAGGACACUCUACUACCUCUGCCACGCUUACAAGGAUGAGCUCCAGGGCACUGAGUUUCAGCAGUUUCCACGGUGCAAGAGAGGAGCUUCUUGUGCGCAGAUUCCUGCCUCACCCUCUGGGGAAGGAAGGCUGCUCAUGGUCACUACGCAGGAGCUGGUCGCCGCUCUCAGCACAGAUCUGGAUGCAGCCAGGGCAGAGAUCCAGGAGGUCAAGAAAAAAGCUGAUGAAGACUAUCAGGGAGAAGGCAAUUCUGGAGGCUCGGCUGAGAGGAGAUCCAGUGUUACCCCUGGAGUACUACAGUGACGAGCCGAGGGAGUACUUCCCUGAGUCACCCACUCGCAAGCGCGUUCACUACGGAGAGCCCGGCUACCGCACCAGCUAUCGUUAGAUAAUAGAUUUAGGAAUUAAGAUAGGAGUAUAUUUUUCUUUCUAGAUAGGAGUUUCUAAGAGUCUUUUGUAAUCGCUAGUUCAAACGAUCUUAAUAGUGUGUUAAAUUAGAUUAAAGUGAAGGUGUGCUUGAUUGCGAUGGUGUGAUUUGGAUCUUUGUAAUGAUUGCAAUAGGUUGUGGAGUGAUGACCACAAUCAUAUCAAGCUAUUAAUACAAAUAUAUAGUUUAGUAAAAAUUUUGGGGAUGUCUAUUUCUUUACUAUCUUUACCUUACCCUUGUUCCUAUCCUUUUUCCAUGAUUGAAUUCAUGAGUCUCCUUUUUCUAACCCAAUCAGAUGGUGAACACCAGGUCCGGGUCAGGAGUUGAUCAGCCUGCAGUGCCGCGAUGGAGGGCGCGCAACAACACCAACCCCGAUCCGCAACCAAGCCAACCACACCAGGCACCACCUGCAGGGAUGGAGCAGUUUCUCGCCACCCAGACUCAGCUGCUGACCAACAUGGCGAACACCAACGCCAACAUGCAGGCUCAGAUGAACCAAGCUCCACCACCUCCACCACCACCAGCAAGGGACAGACACAGGGAGUUCAUGAGUCACAAGCCUCCUACAUUCUCUCAUUCACCGGAUCCACUUCAAGCUGAUGACUGGAUUAAGCCGUGGAGAAGAUGCUCAACCUCGCCCAGUGCACCGACAGGGAGAAGGUCCUUUACGCCUUAGGCAGACUGGAAGGUACCGCCGCAGAUUGGUGGGAUGCUUACACCGCAGCUCAUGACAACCCCGACACCAUCAACUGGCAGGAGUUCAGAAGCAAGUUUAGGGAGCAACACAUACCCAAGGGCCUGAUGAAGCUCAAGAAACAAGAAUUCCUUGCAUUAAAACAAGGGACAAUGUCCAUGAGCGAGUAUCGGGUCAAGUUCAUCCAACUGUCUCGUUACGCCCCUGCAGAUGUCGCAGAUGAUGAAGAGAAGUAGGAUCACUUCAGGGAGGGUCUGAUUGGUCCUAUCAAGUAUCAAUUAAUGGUGCACACUUUCGACAGUUUCCAGAAGAUGGUGGACAAAGCCAUCAUGGUGGAGAAUGCUCGCAAGGAAAUGGGUGAGCAGAAGAGAAAAUACGAGUCAUCGACGCAGUCCAGCAGUAAUGCACGUCCUCGCUUCAACGCUUCGUAGGGAACACCCUUCCGCCCAGGAGGAUAGAGUGUCAACUUUGGGCAGAGUCAGUACCAGCGCUUCAACCAACAGGGUCAACAGCAGCAGCAAGCUCAACAUGCAGGUCAGUCAGUGCAGCGUUCAAACUUUUCGUAGAAUCGUCAGGGCACUCCUACGGGCACACCGAUGAGAAACAAUGCCACUGCUCCCAACGGUGGUAAUACUUGCUUCAGAUGUGGUGAAGCGGGACACUAUGCAAACCGUUGUCCCAAGGGAAAUGGCCAGAACACUCCAGGCCAGUUCAACAACAGCGGACAGAGGCAGACCCCGCAGCAGCAGCAGCCUAGAAACAAUAACCAGACACCGCAGAGCAACAAGGGUCAGCAGAACUUCGUCCGCGGGCGUAUAAAUCAUGUCGCUGCGGAGACCGCUCAGGAAGCUCAGGACGUUGUGUUCAGUAUGUUUCUUGUCAACUCAGCCCUGCAUCAGUUUUAUUUGAUUCCGGAGCAUCGCAUACAUUCAUCUCUGCUGAGUACGUUGCUAAGUACUCCAUUCCCCUAUGCACCAUGCCUAGUUCCAUGUUAGUAAAUUCACCUGGGGGAAAUAUGAGGGCUGUGUAUCGAUGUCUCGGGGUAAAAAUACAAAUCAUGGGCAGGGAAAUCUGUGCAAACCCGAUAGUCUUGCCAUAAAGUGGUAUUGAUAUUAUUCUCGGAAUAGGAUGGUUGACAAAAUACGACGCAGUAAUUCAUUGUUCCAAGCGAUCAGUGGUUCUCACUAGGCAGGAAGGUGAAAGAUUCGAGUUUGUUGCAACACUCCUGUCGGCAGCAGAUUGUGCAGCAAAUCAAUUGAAGGCAAAUUCGAUGGAGGAUAUCAGAGUUGUCUGCGAGUACCCGGAUGUCUUCCCUGAUGAUUUGCUAGGUAUGCCACCUGAACGUGACAUUGAAUUUAUCAUAGAUCUUUUACCUGGUACUGCACCUAUUGCCAAGAGGCCAUAUAGAAUAUCAGUUGGUGAAUUAGAGGAACUUAAGAAACAACUGAAAGAAUUGCUAGAUAAGGGGUACAUUCAUCCUAGUUCUUCACCUUGGGGAGCACCUAUGAUCUUCGUUGAAAAGAAAGAUGGUACACAGAGGAUGUGUGUCGAUUAUAGAGCCUUGAAUGAGGUUACCAUCAAGAAUAAGUAUCCGUUGCCUCGUAUAGAAGACAUGUUUGAUCAGUUGAGGGAGCCAAGGUAUUCUCCAAGAUUGAUUUGAGGUCAGGGUAUCACCAGCUGAGGAUACGACCUUCAGAUAUUGCCAAGACAGCUUUCACUACCAGAUAUGGGCUAUAUGAAUAUACGGUGAUGUCAUUUGGGCUGACUAAUACUCCAGCUUACUUUAUGUAUCUGAUGAAUAAAGUGUUCAUGGAGUAUCUCGAUAAGUUUGUGGUGCUAUUCAUUGAUGAUAUUCUGGUGUACUCCAGGAAUGAGGAGGAACAUGAGGAGCAUUUGAGACUUGUUUUGCAGAAACUUAGGGAUAAUCAGUUGCAUGCGAAGCUCAGCAAGUGUGAAUUCUGGUUGGAGGAGGUCUCGUUCCUUGGUCAUGUUAUCACCAAGGGAGGUAUUGCAGUAGACCCAGGGAAAGUCAAAGAUGUGCUGAGUUGGAAGCCACCUACGACCGUGUCGGAAAUCCGAAGUUUCUUAGGACUCGCGGGAUAUUAUCGGAGAUUUAUAGAAGGCUUCUCUAAGAUAGUGAAACCUCUUACUUCACUACUAGAGAAAGACAAGAAGUUUGAAUGGUCAGAGGUAUGCCAAAACAGUUUUGAUGAGUUGAGAAAAAGGCUGACGACUGCACCAGUGUUGAUUAUGCCUGAUAUUCACAAGAGUUUUGACACCUAUUGUGAUACUUCUAAGCAGGGUCUUGGUUGUGUGCUGAUGCAAGAGGGACAUGUGAUUGCAUAUGCAUCCCGUCAGUUGAGAAAACAUGAACGGAACUAUCCUACACAUAACUUGGAGCUAGCAGCAAUGAUACAUGCUCUAAAGAUAUGGAGGCAUUAUUUGCUGAGUCACAAAUGCCAGAUAUACACCAACCAUAAGAGCCUGAAGUAUAUCUUCACUCAGAAUGACCUCAACUUGAGACAGUGAAGAUAGUUAGAGCUCAUCAAGGAUUAUGAUCUGGAGAUACACUAUCACCCGGGGAAGCCAAAUGUGGUUGCUGAUGCCUUGAGUCGCAAGAGUUAUGUGAAUGCGAUCAUGAUUAGCUAGAUGCCUCGGGAAUUGUGCGAAGAGUUUGAACGGCUCAAUAUGGGGUUUGUCGCACAUACGGAAGGAAUCACUAUAGAGGUAGAGCCGACCCUCGAGCAAGAUAUACGAAAGGGUCAGUUUGAGGAUCCUAAGGUACAGGAGAUAAGGGAGAUGAUAGAAGCAGGCAAGGAACCAGACUUUACCGAAGACGAACAUGGAACAGUAUGGUUCAGGAAGAGGAUAUGUGUGCCCGAUGUGGAUCAUCUCCGAGAGAAAAUUUUGCAGGAAGCUCAUGACUCGGCUUACUCGAUCCAUCCUGGCAGUACCAAGAUGUAUCAGGAUUUGAAGGUGAAAUAUUGGUGGUAUGGUAUGAAACGUGAUGUUGCAGCUCAUGUGGCGCUUUGUGAUGUGUGUCAGCCGGUUUGUUACAACCAUUGAAGGUGCCAGAAUGGAAGUGGGAAGAAAUUGGUAUAGAUUUUAUCGUGGGAUUGCCACGUACCCGAGAUGGUUAUGAUUCUAUAUAGGUUAUAGUGGACCGAUUGACCAAGGUGGCUCACUUUAUACCAGUAAAGACUACCUACACUGGGGCAUGAUUAGCGGAGUUGUACAUCUCCCGGAUCGUGUGUUUGCAUGGGGUACCCAAGAAGAUAGUGUCGGAUAAAGGCACUCAGUUCACGUCGCGGUUUUGGCAAAAGUUGCAUGAGUCAAUGGAUACGAAAUUGAAUUUCAGCUCCGCUUAUCAUCCGCAGACUGAUGGGUAGACAGAAAGGACGGACCAGGUGUUAGAGGAUAUGCUCAGAGCUUGUGCAUUGAAACAUGGAGGCAGUUGGGAUAAGAGUUUGCCGUUUGCAGAGUUCUCUUAUAACAAGAGUUAUCAGGCCAGUCUAAAGAUGGCACCGUUUGAGGCACUGUAUGGCAGGAAAUGCAGAACACCAUUGUAUUGGAGUGAGACAGGAGAAAGUUAGUUGUUCGGGCCUGAGAUCAUUAAAGAGGCUGAAAGAUAGGUACAGGUUGUUCGUGAGAACCUGAAGGUGGCUCAGUCGAGGUAGAAAAGCUAUGCAGAUACUCGACGAUGAGAGUUGACCUUUGAGGAAGGGGACUACGUGUAUCUGAAGGUGUCACCUAUCAGUGGUUUGCGCAGGUUCAAGGUCAAAGGGAAGCUGUCACCUUGUUACAUUGGUCCGUGCAAGAUCUUAGAAUAGAAAGGCGAGGUGGCCUACCAACUAGAGUUACCUGCCCGAUUGUCAGACAUGCACAAUGUGUUUCAUAUCUCACAGUUGAAGAAAUGUUUGAGGGUACCCAAGGAGCAGUUGCCACUGGAGGAACUGGAUGUGCAGGAGGACUUGACUUAUGAGGAGCACCCGAUCAAAAACUGGACACAGCAGAGAGAGUUACCCGGAGUAAGAGAAUACGGAUGUGUAGGGUUCAGUGGAGUCACCAUGCACAGGAUGAGGCUACCUGGGAACGAGAGGACGAGUUACAGGUAGAAUUUCCUCAGCUCUUUGCUAGCCCAGCCAAAUCUCGAGGACAAGAUUCCUUUUAAGGGGGGUAGGUUUGUAAUACCCUAAAAAUUCAAACUACAAAAAUUAAAUAAAAUGUUAGGUUUAAAGGAGCCAUAGGACAUUUGAUAAACAAUUUUCCUUAAUCAUAAAAAGAAAUAUAGGGAACCAUAGGUUUUGUGCAUUUCAUGCUCUUUGCAUUGUUAUUUUGGUUGUUUUCCAUUUGAAUUCAAUUUUCAUUUUUUCAAACUCAAAAGCAUUUAUUUUGCUUUUCUCUCUUUUCCCUCUCUCUUCUCUCCUUUGGGCCAAGCCCAGCCGGCCAUCUUCCCUCCUCUCCCUUCUCCUUCCCUCCUUUUUCCCCCUGGCAGCCCGGCCCAUGGCCUCUUUUCCUUUUUCCCCUUUCCUCCCCUUCUCUCUUUCCCCUCCCGAGCGCAGCCCGCAGCCGUCGCACGAGGCCCAAACCAGCUGCGGCCUUCUUUCCUUCCCUCCUCUCCUUUCCUCCCCACAUGCGGCCCACCAGCGCGGCCCGGCCGUUUUUCCCCUCGGUCCACCCGUCGCGCGCGCCCACUUCCCCCAUCCCUCUCGCUCUCGCGCUGACAGGUGGGGCCCGCCUGUCAGGCCUUUCGUCCCCUCCCCCCGUACCGCACCGGACUCGAGCUCGAGUCCGGCUCGUCCCCGCGCCGCCUCCGCCUCGGGCCCGCAUGCCCAGGCGCCUCCGCGGCCCCCUAUAAGAGCCGCCCAAACCCUAUGGGCUUUUCCCCAAGCCGCAGCCGCCCCGUACCCCUAAACCCUAGCCUCCGCGCCCUCCGCCACCGCCAUUGCCGCCCGCGCCUUGGGCCGUCGCCGCGCCACCGCUCCGCUGCCGCCCGCCGUCGAACGACCACCCCCGGAGCACCACGUGGUGGUGAGGACCGUCACCGGCCCCUUUUUCCCUCUCCCCCGCUUCUCCCGUGGCCGAUCGGCGCGCACCGAGGAUCCCCGCUGCCUCUCGCCGCCGGCCGCCGCCUUCGGUUGCCGCCUCUCCCUCACAACCCCCUAAUUGGAUUCCCCUCAUCGCGCUCCAUCUCCCCGUUCAGAUCCGAGCCGAAACCAAGAUGGGAAAUGCGUUAUCGCGUGAACUCCGGUGAAGCGCUGCCGCUCGCCGCCGCCAGACCCUCGCCGCCAGCAUUCCGCGCCGCCACCCCGAAGUCCCACCAUCGAAUCUGGAUCCAACGGCCCAGAUCCGAUCUAGCCCCGGGUCAAUAGAUUAGGGUACCGAUCAACCGUGGCCUUUUUGCAGAUUAGCCCUUACAUUUCCCGGAAAUCAACCCGCACCCCACCUCAGUUAAAAAAGUACCCCUGUACUUUUUCAAAAUAGAACCCGCCGUCCAAUAUCCCUCUGUUUUGCAGUCUAAUCCCUCUGUCUAGGGUUUAAUUACAAUCUAACCCUCGGUUUCUUCUGUCAAAGCCCCUUUUAGAUUGAAAACCUUUACAGAUAGGUCCCUCGAACCCUGGUUGAACCCUAAUUUCUCUGUUUUAACUCCGAUUUCAACGAUUCUUGCGCUUAUGCGAUCCUUGCAGCAUUAGCUGUAACUUUUUAGGGUUAUUUUGUUCUAUUUUUAUUGAUUGGUGUACUGUUCUUAGUUUAUUUUAUUUGCUUGUUUGUAUGUGCUCGUGUGUCGUGAUAGACGGUGCGCAGUUCGAGGAUCUGCAGGGCCAAGACUUUGAAGAAUUUUCUGAGCAGCAGCAGUUUGCUAACAAAGGCAAGUGGUCCUUGAUCAUGUUUCAGACCUAAUAAUAUCACAAUUACACCUUUACUUUAUAUGCAUGCAUGUGUCUAGAAUAUGAUGGAUCCCAAGUUAAGGAUAUGCCUAGUUUCAAUUUAACUUCCUUGAUUAAACCUGGGUAUUUUAUAUUCAUGUUGUAGUUACGCUAAUUGCUCCUACAUAGUUUUUGGUUGGAUAACCUGGAUAUCAUGGUAAUGUUUUAUUUAUUUUGGAAAAUUGUUUGGUGAUAAAUAAGAUUAUUGAAUCAAUUGGAACAUGGAGAACCACCAAGGAAAACAGUACAACCACAAUACUACAUGGCUCUGGUCUUGGCUAAUUAAUUAGAAACCUUGGCUUAUAAAGGUCUUACCGAAAGGGCAAGAGGGGAGUGUGUUGAUGGGGUAUAGCCCGGUCCUCUUGAGGUGUAGAUAUGAUUCUGGGUAAGGCGUCUUCCUCAUUAGGGAGGGUUAUGACCACUGCGGCCUGAAACCUUAGCGGACCAAUACAAGUUAGGGAAUCUUUGUAAAGGCCUCGUAGUGAAUCCCUGCCACUCACCUUGGAAGUGUUUAAGGGCCUUGCAAACUCGGGCAUCAAGGGAAACACGAGUUGUGGGUAAAGUGUACAACCUCUGCAGAGUGAAAACUAAUAUAUCAGCCGUGCUCACGGUUAAGAGCGGCUUGGACCCUCACAUGAUAAUUAAACUUAAAGAUGAUCUAAAUCGCUGGCUCUGUUUUUUUAUCUCUGUGUUGUGGGUUGAUUCACCUCAGAUAGUUUGUUUAAGGGCUGGUAUAUACUUACAUUAAGCUAAUGCUUGCCUAAUUAAAACUUGACGAACUAAAAAUGCUUGCUGCAGUCAAACCAUGUCAGCUUUUCCUUGAUUAUAGCCGUGCAUGUCAUAUAAUUUACUCCACUUGCUGAGUACCAACCAUAAGUGUACUCAUGCUUGCUUUAUUAAAACCAAUGCUGCUCAGAAUAAGAUAAUGGUCCAGAGUUUCCUGAAGAUAUUGGAGAUUUCUAGGCGCAUGUCUCCCAGUCAACUGCCUGUGAAGUUGAAGUCCACUGCCACUUAUCGACGUUUAUUUAUUCGUUUAAGAUUAAGACUGUUGGUCAUGUAAUAAAGUACUAUUAUACUCUUUUUCGUUAAUGCAUUGCUUCGGAUAUUCGCUUGUGACGUCUACUAUAUGUGCGGAACUUGAUCCUGGCGCACAUAUGGGAUGCAUUCGGUUACCUUUCCUAAACCAGGUGUGACAGAUCCACUUAGCAUCAUGUGCAAAGACUGCCGGAAACAGUCCAAUGGGAUAUGCUGCUACUUCCUCCGGAUGCUGUUCACAAAAGGUGGUAAUAGCCUUGAGGGCUGCUGCUUCAAAGGUGUCCACGAGAUGAUAUCCGACAACUUCUAUCUCAAUAGAUUGCCACUCAAGGAUAGGAUGUUGGGGAACAGUGACAGUAGCACGACAUCGAGGGACUCCGACCUCAGUAAACUCACAACCCUUAUAUUGGGGUGGGUACCGAUAGUGAAAUAUGCGAAGUGUAUCCCACAAGAUUUUCAAAAACCCUUCCCAAUGUAGACAAGCGGUGUGAGCAUAUCUCUUAGCAUCCCAAUAGAUCCUCUGAACAUCUGCCAUCUGAAUCAAAAGGAUUCAAAUGUUAGAUUGGAUAUAAAUUCCUUAGGAUUUUAAGAAGGCUGUGGAAAAAUGUGAGUUAACCCAAGAAAAUGUUGGAAUGCACCAAGAUAUACAUCAACUAAGAACUCAAAAGGUAAAUGGAACAAGAUAUUUGAUUCUGGUCACAGCAAGAACUGGAGAUCAGAUAGUUAUGAUAGAUUUGGCGGAUGAAACAAAGAUACCGAGAUACUAAACCCUAUGGCUAUGUGAUCAUUUCAAGGCUGCACUUGUGGAUAACCACACUCUAAGUAUCCCCAUCACAACAUAAACAUGAGUUUUAAUCAAUUCAAAGAUGCAUGCACGCACUAACGUCCUCACAAACCAAAAUAACUGUUAAAUAUCUUUAGACUUACGUGGUUAGUUACGAUGGCAUACUAUAGAUACGUCUCUCCCUAUAGUAAUUAGUCGACAACUCCUAACCGUUCAGAACCUACCGAUUCGUGGUUAGCGUACCUGCAGAAAACCAUAAUAUAUAUAUAUAUAUAUCCAAUGAACCUUUCAUGCCAGCAUGUCAUGAAAGAACUCCCAAACAUUACUGUUCACUAUAGAAAUAGUAUCUAUACAAUUACCGCUUUACAGAUAAUAUUAACAUACGUUAUCGAAACAACGUAUUCACGGGGUACCGCAAAAAUGCAGGGGUAUGAAUAGCGAUCGCCAUACCCUGUGCCUAACCAUAUACUCCCAACCUAAGUUGAUAUAUUCGCAACAUCUCAAGUAGGCCACUGCUUGAGAAAAAGCGUUCGGUUCGCAUCACCGACGGGAAGGCUAACUCCCCAAUUAGCUGAGGAUCCUUACCUUUUUACCUCAUCGUCGAAGGUGUUGUUACAGAAUGUAAUGUUGGGUUGUGCAUAAAUUUAAGUUUUAACGGAAAAGUAAUGCUGGAAGUUAGAGUUAUAUAUAUACACAUAUAUAUACUAUAGCCACCUCUAAUUCCCUUAUUAAAUAUUAUCCUAGGGCUUUACAUACUAAGCACAAUUCUUAAUGAAACCAAUGUAGUUUUGUAAAAUACUUUGUUGGUUAAAUUUUUAUACUAAAAGCAUUUUUAAGGCAAUUCAUAUCUUCGGGGUACCCUUAUUAGCUCUGAUACCAGCUGUGGUAGAACCAACCUGAAUUACACCGGCUCAAGUGCGCUGAACCUUUCUCGGAAGUUAUUAAAGGCUCAACCGCACUUCAAAAGGUGUAACCCCAUGGUCUGUUGGGUAAAGUUCUGAUAAAACCACCUAACUCAGGAUCAAAACAAGGUACCUCGCAUGAAGGCGAGUCUAGAGAUACAAGUGCCGACAAAUUUUACAUCACAAGCAUAAUAUUACAUUAGUGUUCAAACAUAUAUUGUAGCGAACCUAACUUGUACGAAUUUAUACAAAACUGUUCAAACUUAGAGUAGCCGCAACGGAAUUAAAACUUGACAUUACGGGGCAUCGCGGAACGGAUAUUGAGCUAAGCCCAAGCUCAACAUCACUCGGAAGGACCUGUGUUGGCCGGGGACGGAUCCCAUUCCACGGUCCAACCAUCGGGAAGUGCAUAGGGCCAUGGUAUAGGCAGAGCAGAGUCCUUAGGGGGCUUACCUGGAACAAAAGUCAUAUUGCAAGGCUAAGUAUCCUAAUACUCUACAAGGCUUACCCGUUUAUGAUAUACUUAGCCAUGUAGCUAGACUAUGAAGGCUUGUAAAGUUUCUGGGUAUAAUUUUCAGCUGAAAAGCAAAAAAGAGUAGAUCCUUAAUUUCAACUUUUAGCUUUCAAGUUCUAGUUCAUUAUCCAUUCUAAGUAAGCAACUAUAGCUACUCAAACAAGGUAGAACUUUUUAAGCAAACAUCAUCUUAGAUCAUCAUCAGGUUGCUCUUCUUACUCUAUGUGGCAAAGGGAUCAAGCAGUCUCAAUCUCCAUGAGAAACGGACGAUUCUGAAUCGAAUUUAAAAACCUUGCAAGGGCAAACCUAACUCACAUGCUUGGAAUAUCCAAUGAAUAUUCCGAAGCAACCGUUUGCCUUUCAUUCCAACUCGUGGAUCAGUGCCACCACAAGUGACUGUAGGACCAUACGCACACCAAUGUACAGGACGUACGUCUGUAGCGCGACUACAUGACCGUACUCCUAUCCGCUGUGCGGAACGUACUCCCGCACGUCGGUGCGUGUGAAAAACCAAAUUACGAGUGGUGGGGGGUAUGUCCACUCCUCGGGCUGAUCGGUUACUAGGCUUACCGCUUACCAUAUUUCACGGUAUGUGGCAAAUUCAUUCAAAUGUUUAACCACCGCUACCACACACUGCGACCUUAUCAAAUUUUCAUCAACACAGACGGGGUUCUUACCAAUGUCAUGAAUCACAACCCCGCCCAUCAUCCUUAUGGUGGUUACAGGAAUGUAAACAAUGCAACUCCUAUAAAGCUCGCAAGUGACAGGUGUCGGGUUUUAUCCGGCUGCCCACCGAGGGGUAUACCCAAGGCGGUAGGUUUUGGGUUAGGAUGCGCCGAGAUCAGGAACUCGAAGGUGCCGACAACACAAGAUUUAGAUAGGUUCAGGUCACAAUAUGCGUAAUGCCCUACGUCCUGUAUGAUGGUUUGUAUUGCCUUGAUGUUGAUCUGGUGAUCUUGGUUUUGAGGGGGUCCCUGCCCGCCCUUAUAUAUCCGAGAGGACAGGGUUACAUGAAUCCUAGCCUGAUACUAGCUUAGGAAUCGUACUCAAGUACAACUCGAGUUGUUUCCUUCUAUAUCGACUAGUUCUACUCCGCAUGCGGGUAGAAUACAACAUAAACAAGGUACAGGACACGUCCUAUCCCCUAGCCCAAUACGGACUCCUUGAUGUACACAGCCCCGUGGCCCCGGGUCUGACAAGCCCCCGAGCUCUUCGUAGCUGAGUACUGCAGGCUCUUCGAGUACUUCUGAGGCAAUCUUCGACUUCUUUCGAAGCUCCGUCUUGAAAUUUCUCUUUGAGUACUCUUCUAACUGCAUCGAAGCUAUGAGGUGCUCAUGCCCCGAAUUCUUUCUUCUGUAUGGGGUGCGAUGAAUAAUCGCACUCCAUAUGGAGUAGCCUCGAGCCUUAGGUUGAAUCGAAGAAUCAAGCUGAGGGUCAAACUAGUCUUGAGUCUUUUCUUCUUAUCCUUCGAGUACUUUCGAAAAAUAAGUAGUCGAUGCCACGUGUCUCAUAGCCCCCGAGCCUUGAAUCCAAAUCCCACAAACUUGGAGAUAAGGAUCCGAAAGUCAUGGCAUGCAGUAUUACUCUAAAAUUCCGAAAAAAAACUCUUCGCCUUCUGCAUAGUGAAAUUAAGCCUCCCGCUGGUUUAUUUAACCGCGCGGUGACUUAAGGUUUCUUCUGCACUCUCAGUCUUCAUAUGAGUCGUCUUCGAGUAGUUUUGCAGCGUCCAGCCCCCGAGCUUACGAGCCAGGAGAGCCAAAGGAACCAUGUCGAGUAGUGCGCAUCACCCAGCCCCCAAGCCUGGGAACUAGCGGAACUGUGAUGGCACGCCCUGCUGCCUGGAGGGUUGUUGCUGAAGCUUGAUCUGAAAAAAGACAAUGCAUACAUUAUGCAGCAUAAUGCGAAGAUACCGAGUAGUACUCAGUAAUAAUAUGAAGGAACCAAAAUUUAUUCGGUGUAAAAAUUUCGCUUCUUGCUCUUGCUAGGCCAUUUAAUUUCCCCGGGCAGUUAGCCUGUUACGUUUAAUCACCUGAUCCCUGAUGGCCGUAGACCAUAGCGUAGGGAACUUUGCCGCAUGCACGCGUAGGAGCAUAGGCUUACAAAAGAGUCGAGGUUUCACGGAUUAAGGCGUGUGCUACCCGAGUACUUUAGCAACCGUUAAGAGAAGACAAAGAAGUCGUCAUGCGACAAAGAGGAUGCGCGGUGCGCAUAAAGUAGUCGGCGAUGUGUAGCUCUGGAGGGUUUUGUACCCAUCGAGAGACAUACACGCAUAAGUAGUCGGCAAGUGCGUGUGUGGCAACACGCAAAGAUCUAUACUUCCAUAGGGUGUAGUCCCAUGAAGCCUCCAGCACUCAUAACACAACCUUGUGGCGUAGCCUCCGUAGUCAGUGUCCUAAGGCCGUGGCAAAGCCGCCAGCACUCGGUGCAUUAAGUCUGUGACAGAGCCUCCAGUACUCGGUGCACCAAAGCUGUGGCUGUCGGUCUAACAUCCCAGGAGUAGUCGAUCAGGGCGUAGCCUCCGAGGGUUUCAUGCCCAUCUAGAGGUGUACCCGAAAGGGUAGCCGAUUCUAUGGAGAACAAGUCGAAAAAGGUAAAAAUCACUUAGCUUGAUUCGUGGAUGAAUAUCGACGAAGCCGAGGAGCUCGUUAAUAGAGCUGCGACGGUUUGUUGAUGAAGCUCGACUAGUCGGAGUCGAUUCCGACUAGUUUUCAAGUCGAGACGAGUAGUUGAAGUAAUCGUCGACGAGCUGCCGAUCGUCCUCGCGAAGUCGAAGUAGUCGAACCCGUCGCUGCUGUGCGCGGAUACUACGGCACAAGCCGAAGUUGAACCGGGUUGUCGAGGUCGACGGCCGCGGUGCAUCGACAUUGCAGCGCAAGGCGAAGUCAAGCCGAGUAGUCGAGGUCGAUGUCGCCGUUCGCUGAAGGAUCCGAUAUCGAACUCGAUAAAUCGAUCCACCGAUGCACAUGCAUGAAGGUAGCAAUCCGCCACCUGGUGAACUAGAAAGAUGCCAACGAGUUCGCUGAUGGAUCUUCGACGCGCCCCCUAUCUAGCGCGCCAGCUGUCGGGUUUUAUCCGGCUGCCCACCGAGGGGUAUACCCAAGGCGGUAGGUUUUGGGUUAGGAUGCGCCGAGAUCAGGAACUCGAAGGUGCCGACAACACAAGAUUUAGAUAGGUUCAGGUCACAAUAUGCGUAAUGCCCUACGUCCUGUAUGAUGGUUUGUAUUGCCUUGAUGUUGAUCUGGUGAUCUUGGUUUUGAGGGGGUCCCUGCCCGCCCUUAUAUAUCCGAGAGGACAGGGUUACAUGAAUCCUAGCCUGAUACUAGCUUAGGAAUCGUACUCAAGUACAACUCGAGUUGUUUCCUUCUAUAUCGACUAGUUCUACUCCGCAUGCGGGUAGAAUACAACAUAAACAAGGUACAGGACACGUCCUAUCCCCUAGCCCAAUACGGACUCCUUGAUGUACACAGCCCCGUGGCCCCGGGUCUGACAACAGGAAAUCACUCGACUUCUACCGAUCCUAUUAGCUUAGCAGCUAGUCGGGCUCAAGUUCUAUUAUUCAGUACAUAGUUUUCUAGGAAUAUACAACUAGGGUUUCAAUACAAUUCCUGGAAACUUAAAUGCACAAGUAGAUAUAUAUGAAUAUAUAAUUUGCAGUGUAGUAAAAUAGCGGUUUAUAUUCGGGGCUUGUCUUCGCUGGUGGGGUUGGGGUCAGGGAUGUCAAAAACUUCCAAACCUUGGUUCGGGGCUUCAGUUAAUUCCUCAGCGACGUUCACUUGGUCUUCAGAAAACCUUUGCUCGUGUUCUAGGACUAGUUCGUAGUCCCUGUCGUCGAGUGUCGUUGAUUCUACAUGAUAUGAAAUGAUUUGAAUUAGGUGGUUCUUGAGUUAAGAAUUUUACUUUACAAUAAAGUUGCAAUCUAACAAUAGAUAAACACAACUUCAUAAUACAAGAAAUUUGAAUUCAACCCUACUAUUGGUAUCUUAAUUCAAUUAUCAUAAUCAAUUGAAUUAAUUGAAUUAGGUUAACAAGUUUGAUUUUUAUUUUGAAAUCCACAAAGGUUAUGGCCUUGAAUUUUUGUGGGUAAGCUUGCUUUUAGCAGAUAAGCUUACUAUGAAUUUUUCAUAAUUUUUUGAAAAUAGAAACUAAAGCAGUUGAAUUAAGAUCAAAUUUCAAGUUUAAAUUCAAACCUUAGACAAAACAGUGCCAUAAAUUCUUGAAAGAUUUACUAUGAAUUACUCAAUUAUAGAAUAUCCCAUGGUAAUAAGAUCUAAGCAUGAAAACCUUAGUAAUGGGCUUGAAUAAAUUUAAACCAUUUCAAGCUUGAUUUGAAUAAGUUUAAAUUAGUUCAAGCUAGGGUUCAGUACUGUAAGUGAAAUUUUCACAUAAGCUCACUCAUACCCUAAACAGGCUACACACCAAAAAUCACAAACAAUAGAGCUAGCAUGCAAAAGUUACACAAAAGAUACCCUUUUGCUAAACUUUAAAAUAGCUCAAAAUGCAUUUGGUUUCACAUUAGACAUUAGUAACAAAAGUUGUAGAAUUUACUUCAAGGAUUCAAACAAACUGGUUUGACAUUUUUUUGAGUUUCCUACGAAUUUCUACAAAUUUCUAAAGAACACUAAUUUUGAAUUGAGGGGAGGGAUUGGAAUCUUGCAGCCAGACCCUUAGAAAGAUUUAGAUCAAAGCAAUUGGGUCCUUGGCUCAUCGGGGGAGGAAGCCAAGAAUUGCCGGCCAAAUUCCGGCGACGCUGGUCACCGGCGGCGAGGGGGAAGUGGCUAGGGAGGACCAGGGGGCUUGCGCGGGCUUAGAUGGGGGUAAUGUGAUGGUCGGGGUUGACCGGAGGGGGUGGAACGGCGGUGAACCGAGGCGGCGGCAAUAGAGCUCAACUACAACGGCGGUGUUCCAGCGUAGCGGCUCACCGGCGGUGGACCGGAUGUAGGGGGAAAGCUCCAGGGAAGUAAGGCAAUUCGAUUGAUCACCUCGGUGAGAGCUAGGAUGGCCGGAGGGGUGAGUUACCACGGCAACCCGGGACGGCGGCGAGGGGAGGAGCUCGUCGGCGAGGGGGAUGCAGUGCUCAAGGGCGGCGAUGAAGGGGCUGGUGAGCUUCACAGGAUCACGGCGAAGCUACUGGAGGGGCUAUCGUAGAUCGGAAGAGGCUGGGGCGAGCUGGCGACGGCGCGGUGGACGAUGGCAGACAGCGAGCGCGGCGGUGGUCCAGUGGAGAAGAAGUCGAGAAAACAAACGACGGUCGUGGGAGUGGAUAUAAGUAGUUGAAACGAGUUCCUGGUCCUGCUGUGGAACUAAGAAGAGGCACGAUGAGCAGUAGCUACUGCUGGCGGCCGACGACGGGCGUGGCGGCCGGGCGGAGCUCGGGCAGAGGCGGGGCGACGUGCAGUGCGCGGAAGAAGUCCAGAGGGGAGGAGCUAGAACGGCGGCUGGCUUGGAGACGACACGUGGGUGCUGCCAGAAGCAGGAGAUGGCACUGACAGGGCUGGAGCGGCGGUGAGCGGUGGCGGUCUGCGGCGGCAGAGAGGGGGGGCAGCUAGGGCGGACGGCAGAGCGUCGUGGCGUGCUCGGGGAGGGCCAGCAGGAGGGAGGUGAGGCGCUGGGCGAGCUCAGGGGCGACGCGUGGAGCGGCGCUGGAGCAGGAGGUAGCCUCGGGCGACGCAGCACGGCGACCUGCGGUGCCGCUGCUGCGUGGCAGAGGAGGAAGAAGAAGGGGGGGGGGGCGCUAGGGGCUAAAUUAUGAACUUUAAAACUCCAGGGACCUUACUAUAAAUCAAAAUUUCCCACUGAUCUAAGGCUUAAAUGAGAAAAUAGUCAAAAUAAAAGUUGUAGAACUUUUCAAACCAUUCAACUUUUAUUUAGGGUUUAAAAUUAAAAACUCAAAGGAUAGAACUUUAUUUAAAAACUUUGGACUCAACUCAAACUUUUCAAAGUUUUUGUCCUUAGUUAGGAAAUUUUCAUGUAUUUUUGGACUUAAUUGCAAGUUUUAUGCACUGCAAUGAUGACUAACAUUUUUACACUUUGACCCCUAGUGAAAUUUAAGAGUUACCUUUGUAAUUCAAACAUUCUACACAAAAGAACUCAUAUUUUUGAAAUAAUUACUCACAAGUCCUUAUUGCCACACAUUCAUCUAAUUUCACUCAAUCCAAUACACACAUUACACAUUCCUUCCUAGUGUUUUAAAAUUUUGACACCUAGGGUGUCACACUAUUCUAUAUCUUCCACAGUGGAAGUAUAUGAACUCUUGCGUUUAUGCCAUAGAAGGGAUCAAGCUUGAGGACAUCCCUGUCGUAUGUGAGUACCCAGAUAUUUUUCCGGAUGAUUUACCCAGGAUGCAUCCUGAUAGGGACAUUGAGUUUAUUAUAGAAUUACAACCCGGUACAGCCCCCAUCUCUAAAAGACCCUAUCGUAUGCCAUCCAAUGAGCUAGCAGAAUUGAAAGUUCAACUUCAGGACCUUCUUGAUAAAGGUUUUAUUCAUCCAAGUGCUUCACCAUGGGGAUGCCCAGCCCUGUUUGUGAAGAAAAAGGACCAUAGCCUUAGACUAUGUGUGGACUAUCGCCCCCUCAAUACAGUAACCAUCAAAAACAAAUAUCCUCUUCCCUGCAUUGACAUCUUGUUCGAUCAAUUAGCCGAAGCCAAGGUAUUCUCCAAAAUUGACCUUCGCUCUGGAUAUCACCAGAUAAAGAUAAAGCCCAACGACAUCCCAAAAAUAGCAUUCUCCACCAGAUAUGGACUUUAUGAAUAUCUAGUUAUGUCCCUUGGUCUUACCAACGCAUCAGCAUAUUUCAUGUAUCUCAUGAACUCUGUCUUUAUGCCGGAGCUCGAUAAAUUUAUCGUAGUAUUCAUCGACGAUAUUCUGACCUAUUCCAAAAAUUCUCCAAUUGUGAGACAUCUUCAUAUUAUUCUUUAGAGAUUGUGAGAACACCACUUGUAUGCCAAAUUCUCCAAAUGUGAAUUUUGGCUAGAUACAGUUAAAUUUUUGGGUCACACCAUCUCCAGUGAUGGCAUAUCUGUUGAUCUGAGUAAAGUCCAGGAAGUGAUGGAUUGGAAGCCCCCUACUUUAGUCCAUCAGAUCCAUAGUUUUCUUGGUCUUGCUAGCUAUUAUCAUCAUUUCAUCCUUGACUUCUCUAAAAUAGCCAAGCCAAUGACAGAAUUGCUGAAGAAAGGAGUUAAAUUUUCCUGUAAUGAGAAAUGUGAAGAAGCAUUCCACACUCUAAGAGCACACCUCACUACUGCUCCAGUUUUGGCUCAGCCAGAUAAUUCCAAACCUUUUGAUAUCUAUUGUGAUGCGUCGUGCAUCGGACUUGGUUGUGUACUCAUGCAAAACAACCGAGUAAUUGCUUAUGCCUCACGAGCACUCAGGACUCAUGAACAGAACUAUCCUACCCAUGAUCUUGAGCUUGCAGCCGUUAUCCAUGCGCUUAAGAUCUGGAGACAUUAUCUUAUGGGUACUAAGUGCAACAUCUAUACUGACCAUAAGAAUCUCAAGUACACUUUUACACAAGCAAAUCUAAAUAUGAGACAAAGACGUUGGCUAGAGCUUAUAAAAGAUUAUGAUCUAGAAGUGCACGAUCAUCCAGGCAAGGCCAAUGUGGUUGCGGAUGCACUUAGCUACAAAGCGCAUAGCUAUUGUUUAUCAAUAGAAGCCUUUAGUGAAACUCUCUGCUGGGAAAUGUGAAAGCUCAAUUUUGAGAUUAUUCCUCAAGGUAGUUUGAAUCAUAUAGCAGUUGAACCCACACUUCAAGAUAGUAUCAUUAUAGCACAACUACAUGAUAAAGGAGUCAAAAUCAUCAAGCAACAGCUAGCCCAGGGAUAAGAAAAGUAUAAGUGUUUUUAAGUAGAUCAAAAAGGAAUUCUAUGGUUCAAGGGACGUAUUGUUGUACCCAAGGACCAUCAGCUUCGUAAGCAAAUUCUGGACGAGGCACAUCUGUCCAAGUUCUCUAUGCACCCUGGCAGUACCAAAAUGUAAGAAGACCUGAGAUAGAACUUUUGGUGGACUCGCAUGAAAAGAGAAAUUAUAAGAUAUGUCUCUAAGUGUGAUAUUUGCCAAAGAGUUAAAGCCAGUCACUUAAAGAUUGCUGGUGUUCUUCAACCUUUACCCAUUCCUUCUUGGAAGUGGGAAGAUAUCAGCACGGAUUUUAUCGUUGGCUUACCCAACACUUCCCAGAAGCAUGAUUCUAUUUGGGUAAUCGUUGAUCGAUUAACCAGAACUGCCCAUUUCCUUCCUGUGCAUACUAAUUACAAUGCAGAGAUCUAUCUAGACCAAAACUUUCGUCUCCAUGGAAUACCUAAGAUGAUCAUCUCUGAUCGUGGAGCACAGUUCAUUGCCCAUUUCUGGGAGCAACUCCAACACUCUCUUGGAACCAAAUUAAUUCGAAGCUCCACAUAUCAUCCACAAACAGACGGACAAACGGAAAGGAUAAAUCAAAUCCUAGAGGAUAUGCUUAGAGCCUGUAUAAUUCAAUAUGACAAAAAUUGGGACAAAUGCUUAGCUUUGGUAGAAUUCUCCUAAAAUAAUAGUUAUCAGUCGAGUCUCAAAAUGGCUCCUUUUGAAGCAUUAUACGGUCGCCGAUGCCGAACUCCUUUGAGUUGGUCUCAAACUGGCGAACAUAAAAUCUUUGGACCCGAUCUUAUCACUGAAGCAAAAGAAAAGGUGAAGAUCAUUCAAAAUAAUCUUAAGGCAGCCCAAUCUCGAUAAAAGAACUACACGGACAAAUGAAGGAAACCAUUGUAGUUUGAAGUUGGUGAUUUUGUAUAUCUAAGGGUAUCUCCUACCUGAGGUGUUCAACGGUUUGGUAUGAAAGGAAAACUCGCUCCUCGAUAUGUUGGACCUUUUGAAAUUCUAAAAACUUGUGGACCCGUAGCUUAUCGUCUUCAACUUCCUUUUCAGCUAGCAGCCAUUCAUAAUAUCUUCCAUGUAUCUCAGCUUAAGAAAUGCAUCAAAAUCCCUACCGAGGUUAUCAAUUUCCAAACCAUUAAAAUUGAGCCAGACCUAUCUUAUACCGAACGUCCGAUCCAAAUAGUUAGGAUGUUUAAGAUCCAAUGGAACCAUCACACUGAAGAAGAAGUGACUUGGGAAACUGAAUCUUAUCUUCAGCAUAACUUUCCAGACUUCCUUAGAGCCAAACCAAGUAUCUAAUCUUCCAAUUCCAUCCUGUUCCGAAAUCUCGAGACGAGAUUCUUUUUAGGGAGGGAGGCUAUGACAUUUCAGGUACUUAGGAGCUAGGCACACUAAUUUCUAGUAUGAAGUUAUGCUUGUUAGUGUGAAGUUUGUGUUUGUUUUGAUGAAUGCCUUUAACAAUUUAAAUACACGUUAAAGGGUAUUUUUGUAAUAUUGGGAAAAAUUAGGGUUCUUUUUGUAAAUUGUGUAUAAAUGGGAGGUAAUUUCAAAAAUGUAUGAAGGGUUGAUUUGCAAAUGUGAGUUUUCACUCUUUAACCACUGUAAGAAGUGUAAAUACUCCAAGGUUUCAUUGAAAGGGUAAAAUUUAUUUUGGAUUUUUUUGAAAUUGAAUGAUUUGUUGUUUUUUAAAAAUAAUUUCAAAAUCCUAACUAUUUUGAAGUUGGACCCUAAACCAAAUGGUAGAUCCUUUUAAGCUCUACAUUUGUUAUUUUGGGCAUAUUUUCAUUAGAACUAUAGUUUGGAAGGAAAUUUUACUUUACACUGAACUCCUUGAACUUUUGCAAAAUUUACUAACAGGUCCUUGUCUUCUUCCUCCUGCUUCCCCCUCUAUGUUUCUCUGCAGCGCCGCCCACCACCCAUCGCUGGCGUUUUCCCCAGCCGCCAGCUGCCCCCUCGCCGCUCUUCCUGCGCCACGUGGCCCCCAGCUCGCCCGCCCGCCGCUUAACCGACCCCGCUGGCUCCUCCUCGUGCGGACACGUCGCGCCGUUGCCCGCCCGAGCCACCACGCGCGCUGUCGACCGCCAGCAGCUGCUUGGCGCCCACCCGCUCGCCUCUUUUUAGCCUGGGAACGUGCCUAGUGAACUUCUCCUUUCUUCUAUCCCCUCGCACGCACGCGCAUUCUUGUUUCUUUUCCCCGUCAACUACUUCACCGGAGCUCCUCUGUCCACUGCCGUCAACCGUCUCCGCCGCUCCUCCUCUCCAAUUUUGUGCUCCACCAGCACCGCCACAUCUCAUUGCCCCUUCCUGAUCCGCUCUUCUUCCUCCUUCCGCGCACGUGCAGCCUAGAACGCCGCGCUGGCGAUCUCACUCUCCACCGCCGUUCUAAUUCUAGUCGAACCGAAGUUCCACCCCUUCUCCUUCACCAAGAGCACCAUCAGCACUACAUCUCCACGCCGAAGCUCCCUGACCAAUUUUCUUCGCCUUCUUGCACUCCAGUCGUCGGACCACCGUCGCCGCCCUCGGAACCUCGCCGCGCCGGCUCUGUUUCUAGUCGAACCGCUGCCUCCGAGCUUCCCUUCUAUGAUUCCAACCACCCCCAAGUCCGCUGUGAGCUCCUGAACCUUAUUCCCCACCUUCCCCUCACCGCCAAUAAGCCUCCUUGUUGAAUUUUGAUCGCCGCCGCUCGACUUCUUCUGUUCAAGUCUCUGAAUCCAAAUCCCAAGGUUUGAAAGAUAUUAACAUCACUAACCCCAGCCUCACCAGUGAAGGCAAGCCCCAGUGCAUAACCCAGUAUUUUAAAUUAUGCACUUAUAUCGUUAUAUAUCUAUCUUGUGCAUUAAGUGCUAGGAGUUGUUAUGAAACCCUAGUUGCAUGAAACCUAGGAACCUAUGUAAUGUUUCCGAGUCCUUAUCGAGUAGAUGCUCUGCUAAUAGGACCGGCAGAAGUCUAGUGAUUUCCUGUCACUCGCGCGAUGUCACACCCAAUUUAUAAAGAACAUAAAUCGAGCCAUCAUAUAUGCGCCAGGAUCAAGUCACGCAUAUAUACAACAGAAUAAUCAAGAUAUCACAACACAUAUCACGAAUGACAUUAAUAUAAAUCGUAAAUGAAUUAUUUUAUUACAACCGAAUCAAGAAUCGGUUCAAGAGUUGCGGAAGCGUAAAAGAGAUACAUGAAGAGCUGGGCGCCACAGGGACGUCGACUGGAAGACAAACGCCUAGAAGUCGUCGAAGCCGCUGACGUAGUCCUCCACGUUGCCGGGCACUGAGCAGCAGUCGAAGAUAUCCAAGAGAACAGAAGAGUAGAAAGGCAAGAGUGAGUACAACUCGUACUCAACAAGUAUAACACAAACUAUGAGGCUCUAAGGUUGGCUGACUCGACUGCAUUAGCUUUUAGUCUUGGCAGAAUUUUAUUAAAGCUAAUUACUACAAGUGGAUGAAUUACCAUAAACCCGAAUUGCAUAAUAAAUUAUUCAAUAUUAAUUAAGAACUACUGAGAACCAUCCAAACCAAAACCACCCGGGGAAAUCUCCCUAAUCAAAGGUUGAUAACCCCACUAAUCAAAAGGAGGAUCUGGGCCACUCAUGACUGUGAGCACAGCUGAUAUAUCAGUUUUACACUCUCGAGAGGUUGCAUAACUUUACCCACAAGUCGUGAGCUAUGCUAGUUGUUCAUCACACUUCCUUAGGUGAGAUGGCUAGCAAGCACACUACGAGACCGUUACACAGGAUCACGUUGGUAAGGUGUAACCGCUAAGGUUUCUGGAUCAGCGACGAUGGGGCCCACCUCCGGGGGUACAAGACACACAGCACAGACCAAGCCGGAGGAGCAGGGACCAUUGAAGCUUACCACCCCUCUUGCCCACGCAGGUAAGUUACUCCCGAACCAACACGACCUAAUUAGUAAGUCAAGACCGUCCCAUUCCAGUCUUGUGGUUGCGCGGUUGUCCCAGGUUGUCGCUCUAUGAACCGGUCCUUAUGGAGAGUGGCCAACCAAGCACUAAGCACCGUGCUGGCCCCCUAAACCUUGUUUCUACAAAAACAUAUUUUUAAGGACGCGCAAACCACUCAAGCACACAGCACAGAGGGUCGGCUCCAGAAUUAAGUUGCAUAUACCAUUAAUCAAAUUUAAUUAAAAAGGACCAAUUGUGAGAGCGCAGCACCUAGCAAAACUAACCACAAUGCAACCCAAAGGAUAUAUAUAAAGGAUAUAAAGGUGGCUAGGAAAUCCUUAUGGGCGUACAGAAUUAAAAUGCAGUAUGAAAUUGUAUUUAAAAGUGAUAGGAUGUUCAUGUUAUAUUUGCCUUCCUCAAAGUUCUCCUGCUGCUGCUCAAAAGCUUCAGAAGAUGGUGGCUCCUGGUACUCGUCCAAAGGCUCCGCGUCUACUCACGAUCACCAAGCAUGGUCCACACAUACACACAUGCACAGACAAUAGCAAACUAUAAAAAAAACAGUACACCAAUAUAAUAGAACAGCACACAAAACUAGCCUAGAACUAUUCUACGCGUUACAACGAUCACGUGGACAUAAAGAACACCUAAAACGGAGCUAAAACGCGAAAUCUACGCUUGAAACAAGAUCCAGGGACCUUUCUGCGAGAAAAACUGGCUACAGGGGGUUCUGGACAAAAACCAGGGGCUUAAACGUAAUUAAAGGGUAGACACAGGGGCUAACACAUGAAAACACAAGGCAUGGACUGCGGGCACUAAUUCCAGGAAGCUCAAGGGUCAAAAUGGAAGAAAAGGACCUGUCUGCGAAUACUUUUGAACUAGAGAUGGACGGCGGGUUAAUUCCCCAAAAGGGCAGGGGCUCUUUAACAAAACUGCCAUGGCUGAGGGGGGGUACGCGGUUUCUAAUCUGGGCGGUUGGAUCUAAAUCGAACGGUUCGGCGCAUUCCGGUUCGGACGAUCCGAUCUGAACAGCGGGGGUCCGGACGGUCCGAUCUGGACAGCGUGGUUCGGACUGGUCCGAUCCGGUAGAGCGCGGCCGGCGGCGGGGGGGGGGGGGUGUCGCUGGAGAUCGGUUUCCGUGGCGGCGCGCCGCCGGAGCUGGGCAAAAUCAAUGCUCCGGGGGUCAAAUCAAACGGGGAUUGGGUCUGGAAGGUUCAGCGCGACUUGGGGAAACCACCUAAGGAUAAGGCGGAACGCGGGAAGGGCUCAGGCUGUGCGCACGACGACGGGGGUGGGUCGGCACGGCGGUGCAUCGCCGGCGCGCGCGUUCCGGUCUAAGAGAGGGCUAAAGAUCUACGACAUCUAGUGCAAAAAGGACCAAGGAAUGGCGGGAAAGCUCACCAGGUCUCGUGGUGGCCGGAGCUACAGCGGAAGAUGGUCGGCGACGAGGUCCGAGCGGCGGAACAGGCGGCGCUUGUGGGGAAGGCUCCUGCAGAGAGGCUCGAGGUCCCUUGGACGCGCGGAUCGGUCGGGGAACUCCCUGCAGAGGUAACCAGGGGGUUAAGAUGGAUCAGGAUGCAACGACGAUGAGGAAUUCCGACGGCGGAGCGGCUCACCGUCGAAGGUUCCUUCGGGAAAUUCGGUCGAUGCCGAGGCAUAGGGCUUCGAUGCUGGGCUAGCGGAGCUUCGGGAUGGCGAGAGGGAGCGGACCCGGGGUUGUGGUGGUCUGGGGUGCAGCGGAACGGCCGGUCGGCGGUGAGGCCGAGGCGUCUGCGCGGCGGAGGGAAGAAGGAGGCGGCGGCGCUGCGGUUCUCCAGAGGUGCUGCUGCGGCUAGGUUUAGGGUUCUAGGGCGCGGAACCUUCUUGUAGGGCAGCGGCCCACAUUGGCAUGCGGGCCCGAAGCGAGAGAGCUCGCCGGAAGUUUCGGGGGCCGUUGCGCGGCCGGUAGAGGAAGAAGGAAGAAGGGGCCGACAGGUGGGGUCGAGCUGGGGAAAUGACUGAGAAAGAAGGAAUGACUGAGAAUAGAAGGAAUGACUGAGAAUAGAAGGAAUGACUGAGAGAAAAGAAGGAAUGAUUGAGAGAAAAGAAGGAAUGACUGAGAAUAGAAGGAAUGACUGACCUACUUUCCUGUCUCCUCCCUUUUCUUUUUCAAACCAACUCGAUUCUAUUUGAAUUCAACCCCUAUGCACUCAACCAAAUAAAACUUAUGCACCAGCAUGAAUGCACAAACAUGUUGAACCUAAAAUAAAUUUUAAUUCUUUGUGAAUUAAAUUAUAAAUAAAUGCAAGCUAGGCAAAAUAAAUCCUUAAAAAAUUACUGGAGCCCAUUUAAAUUCAUUAUAGAUCUCGAAAUUUUACCUUAGGAUGUUACAAACCUACCCCCCUUACAGGAAUCUCGUCCUGAGAUUCGAAUAGGCUAGCUAGCAAAGAGAUCGGGAUAUGUCUUCCGUAGCUCAUCUUCUCGCUCCCAAGUAGCCUCAUCCUCCGUGUGAUGACUCCACUGAACACGGCACAUCUUGAUCCUCUUGUUUCUGGUAACUCUCUCGGAUGUCUCCAGAAUCUUCACCGGAUGCUCGAUGUAAGUCAAAUCUUCCUGCACAUCUAACCCUUCCAGCGGUGCUUGCUCUUCUGGCACCCUCAAGCACUUCUUCAGCUGAGAUACAUGGAACACAUCGUGCACUCCUGAGAGGUUGGGAGGCAACUCCAAACGAUAUGCUACCUCACCUUUCCGUUCCAACACCUUGAACGGACCAAUGUAUCGAGGGGCUAGCUUCCCUCUCACAAUAAACCUGCGGAUUCCUCUCAUCGGCGAGACCUUCAGGUACACAUGAUCACCCACUGCAAAGGUCAAAUCUCGACGACGAAUAUCCGCGUAGCUCUUCUGACGAGUCUGAGCGACCCUCAGAUUCUCUCGCACCUGUUGUACCAGCUGCUCUGCCUCUUCCACAAUAUCCAGACCAAACACCUGCCUCUCGCCAAUCUGAUCCCAAUACAGUGGAGUCCUGCAUUUCCGGCCAUACAGAGCCUCGAAAGGAGAUUUCUUCAGACUGGACUGAUAACUAUUGUUAUACGAAAACUCUACAUACGGCAAGCAUUUAUCCCAGCUGGUACCAUACUGGAUAGCGCAGGCUCGAAGCAUAUCCUCCAACACUUGGUUGGUCCUUUCUGUCUGCCUAUCUGUAUGAGGAUGAUAGGCGGUACUGAAACGCAGCUUCGUAUCCAACGAAUCAUGCAACUGCUCCCAGAACCAUGAAGUGAACUGAGAUCCUCGAUUAGAUAUGAUCUUCUUUGGAACACCAUGCAGACAGACGAUCCUGGAGAUGUACAACUCUGCGAGUCUAGCGCCGGAGUAAGUAGUGUUCACCGGAAUGAAAUGAGCAACCUUCGUCAACCGGUCCACUACUACCCAUAUGGAGUUGUACCCUUUCUGAGUACGAGGCAAGCCAACGAUGAAAUCCAUAGUGAUUUCCUCCCAUUUCCACUCUGGAAUCUUCAACGGCUACAAUAACCCUGCUGGCCUCUGAUGCUCUGCCUUGACACGCUGACAAGUGUCACAGAUAGCCACGUACUCCGCAACGGAACGCUUCAUUCCAUACCACCAGAAUCGUUCCUUCAGGUCAUAAUACAUCUUCGUACUGCCUGGAUGGAUAGAAUAUGCUGUAUCAUGAGCCUCACUCAAGAUCAGCUUCCUGAGGUCAUUCACAUCCGGCACACAUAUACGACCCUUGUACCACAAGGUACCCUGAUCAUCCUCUCUGAAAUGAGGGGCUUUACCAAUCUUAAGCAAUUCACGGAUCUCCUGCAGCUUCUUGUCAUCUUUCUGAUGCUGCCUGAUCUCAGCCUCUAGAGUGGGUUCUGCCUCGAAUGAUGUACCCGAGGUGUGAUGCAAGAAACCCAGACUCAACUGCUCAAACUUCUCGCAUAACUCCUGAGGCAUUUGAAAAGCCACGGCCAUGUUAACAUAGCUCUUCCUGCUCAGAGCAUCUGCUACAACAUUGGCCUUGCCCGGAUGAUAGUGAAUCUCCAGGUCAUAAUCCUUGACCAAUUCUAGCCAUCUUCUCUACCGCAUGUUCAACUCACUCUGUGUGAAAAUAUACUUGAGGCUCUUGUGAUCAGUGUAAAUAUCACACUUUUCCCAAAGAAGUAAUGCCUCCAUAUUUUCAGAGCAUGCACAAUUGCGGCUAACUCCAAAUCAUGAGUGGGAUAAUUCAGCUCAUGCCGGCACAACUGCCGCGAGGCAUAAACUAUCACUCUGCCUUCCUGCAUCAGGACACAACCAAGACCAUCCCUCGAAGCAUCACAAUACACUGUGAACCUCUUGCUCUGGUCUGGCAGAGUAAGGACUGGCGCCGUAGUCAGCCUCUUCUUCAGCUCCUCGAAGGGACUCUGACGCUCAUCAGUACAAGAGAAAUCAACUCCCUUCUCUAGCAAGGAAGUCAAAGGCUUCGCAAUCUUGGAGAAAUUCUCAAUGAACCUCCGAUAAUAUCCUGCUAAGCUCAAGAAAGAGCGGACUUCCUUCACUAUCUGCGGUACAACCCAGUCAAGCACAUCCUUCACCUUCCCGGGGUCCACAACAAUACCUCCCUUGGAGAUAACAUGACCGAGGAAUGGGACCUCGUCAAUCCAGAAUUCGCACUUGCUGAGCUUGGCAUACAGCUUGUGCUCUCUGAGCCUCUGCAACACAAGCCUCACAUGCUUCUCAUGCUCUGCUUCUGACUUGGAAUAUAUCAGGAUAUCAUCAAUGAAUAUCACCACAAAGGUGUCCAGAUAAUCCAUGAAAACCUUAUUCAUCAGAUGCAUGAAGAAAGCCGAAGCAUUGGUCAAACCAAAAGACAUGACCGUAUACUCGUAUAGCCCAUACUUGCAAGUGAAUGCCGUCUUCGGAAUAUCCUCAGAACGAAUCUUCAGCUGGUGAUAGCCCGAACGCCGAUCAAUCUUCGAGAAUACACAAGCACCCUGAAGCUGAUCAAAGAGAUCCUCAAUACGAGGCAAGGGAUGCUUAUUCUUGAUGGCAACUGCAUUCAGAUCCCGAUAAUCGACGCACAUUCUCUUCGCGCCAUCCUUCUUCUCUACAAGCAAUACAGGAAAAGCCCAAGGAGAGAAACUGCGAUGGAUAUAGCCCUUGGCUAGCAACUCGUCGAUGGUCUUCUUAACUUCCUCAUGCUCAACGGGAGCCAUACGAUAGGGCCGCUUGGCAAUAGGAGCUGUGCCAGGCAAGAGAUCAAUAGAAAACUCAAUGUCGCGAUCAGGCGGCAUACCUGGCAAAUCAUCCGGAAAGACAUCCGGGAAUUCAGACACCACGCGAAUACCAUCCGUGGGUCUAGCCUCCAUCUGAUGAAGAAAUCCAGAAGGUUCUGUAGCUCCAACAGUGACCUCCUGACCAUCUGGUGCUGACAGAAGAACCGUCCUCUGAGCACAAUCUAUCCGAACUCCCCACUUAGCAAGAGUCUCCAUCCCGAGGAUCACAUCAAUGCCCUUGGUGUCUAGCACCAUCAGAUUCGCACUGAACUCUACCCCCCUUAUGACCACACUAACUCUGGGACAGAAGAUAUGAGACCUCAACUGCCCUCCCGGUGAAGAUACUAACAUGCAUCUCUUUAAUGUGCUAGUAGGAAUGCCAUGAUGCUCAACAAAAGACUGGGUGAUGAAAGAAUGCGUAGCACCAGUAUCAAAAAGCACUGUAGCAGGAUGGGUGUUGACCAUGAACGUACCAAUAACCACGUUAGGAGCCUCGGCCGCUGACUCGGCCGUCACGUGGUUCACCCUGCCCUGAGCUGGGGCCUUGGGCUGAGCUGCACGCCCCUGCUGUCCUGACUGUGCCUUCUGGGGGCAGACGUUGGCGUAGUGUCCCGGCUCGCCGCAGUGGAAGCACACUCGCGGAAAUGCAGCGGCCUGCUGCCCGGCAGGAGGAGGGGGCACUCCCUGCCUCUAAGCUGGUGGAGCCGGAGGCGCUGGAAGCCUCUAUCCCUGUCCUGCCUGCUGCUGAGGAUGGGGAGGAUACUGUUGCCACUGCUGGUACUGCUGGGGCGGUCUCUGCUGCUGCUGCUGCUGCGGAUGCUGAUAGCGGGGUCGAGUGUUGCUGCCCGAAGAGGAUGGAGCCAUCUUCCUCUUCUUAUCCUCAAUCUCCCGGCGCUUACGCUCGGUGUUGAGGGCAGCAUCAACCAGCUGGUUGAAGUUGUCGAAGUGGUGGUUCAGCAGCGCAUACUGGAUGUGAUCAUCCAGCCCUUCCUUGAAAUACUCCUGCUUGUCGCUAUCACGGGCGACGUCAGCAGGGGCAUAGCGGGCAAGCUGAAGGAAACGGUCACGGUACUCCGUCACCGUCAUCGAUCCCUGCUUAAGGGCACGGAACUCCUUCUGCUUCAUCUUCAUAAUGCCCUCAGGAAUGUGAUGGUUCCUGAAGCGCUCACGAAACUGGACCCAGGUGAGAGAGUCGCGGUCCUGAAACGGGUAGGACUCCCACCAGUCGAGAGCGGAGCCUCGUAGCUGCCCUGCGGCGUACAGAACCCUCUCCCGGUCGUCGCACUGCGCAACAACCAACUGGCGCUCCACCGAACGAAGCCAGUCGUCCGCCUGGAGUGGGUCUGUGGCGUGAGAGAAGGUCGGCGGGUGACCUCUCAGGAAAUCCGCAUGCCGAUCGCGGGGCUGAGGCGGCGGAGGAGGCGGGGGCUGGGCGUGGAUAUGCUCCAGAGCCUGAACAGUAUUGUUCAGGGUAGCCAUCAUCUGCAUCUGGAGCUGGAAGAACUGCUCCGGGGUCAGUGGUGGCGGCAUCGGCAGCGGCUGACCAGUACCCUGGUUGUUCUGCUCCUGCUGGUCAGAAUCGGAACCGAUGCGCCUGGUGUUCACCAUCUGAUUGCAGCAACGAAAUUUUAUGAGAACAAGAUAUUGUGCAGCUGCGGAAAUAAAACUUCGGCAGGAUAUGACCGAGAGAAAGGAGUAUAGGUUUUACCACCAACAUUAUAACUAAAUUUUAUUAUUUAGUUCAAGUUGUGUUAGGGUCGGUUUGCAGGAACAAGUUUAACUACUAGUCUAUGCAAUCAACCAAAAAUCCAAAUCAAACAUUUGCACAAUAACAAACAUUCAAUGUUCACAACUUAGUCGAGUUUAUCACACCACUCGACUAACAUACUCGUUCUAGCGUAUUUUCAUCAGGACAACCUAGACUUAUAAUUUACAGGAUUAGGCGACUCAGGCCAACGUCUACGGAAAACUCAAGCUAUUUCUCAGAAAAGGCAGGAGAGAUAGCGAAUCAAAGGGCUUAGGAUUCAAGGAAUAGAGGCAGGAAAUGAUUUUAGGAGGUUUGCGGAAGCAAGGCAAGAGAAAAGAAGUCCUAAACUCGACCGAUUCUAUCUAGGUUUCAUCCUACAGUCGAUAUGGCUCUGAUACCAAUCUGUCACACCCGAUUUAUAAAGAACAUAAAUCGAGCCAUCAUAUAUGCAUCAGGAUCAAGUCACGCAUAUAUACAACAGAAUCAUCAAGAUAUCACAACACAUAUCACGAAUGACAUUAAUAUAAAUCGUAAAUGAAUUAUUUUAUUACAACCGAAUCAAGAAUCGGUUUAAGAGUUGCGGAAGCGUAAAAGAGAUACAUGAAGAGCUGGGCGCCACAGGGACGUCGACUGGGAGACAAAUGCCUAGAAGUCGUCGAAGCCGCUGACGUAGUCCUCCACGUUGCCGGGCACUGAGCAGCAGUCGAAGAUAUCCAAGAGAAUAGAAGAGUAGAAAGGCAAGAGUGAGUACAACUCGUACUCAACAAGUAUAACACAAACUAUGAGGCUCUAAGGUUGGCUGACUCGACUGCAUUAGCUUUUAGUCUUGGCAGAAUUUUAUUAAAGCUAAUUACUACAAGUGGAUGAAUUACCAUAAACCCGAAUUGCAUAAUAAAUUAUUCCAUAUUAAUUAAGAACUACUGAGAACCAUCCAAACCAAAACCACCCGGGGAAAUCUCCCUAAUCAAAGGUUGAUAACCCCACUAAUCAAAAAGAGGAUCUGGGCCGCUCAUGACUGUGAGCACAGCUGAUAUAUCAGUUUUAUACUCUCGAGAGGUUGCACAACUUUACCCGCAAGUCGUGAGCUACGCUAGUUUUUCAUCACACUUCCUUAGGUGAGAUGGCUAGCAAGCACACUACGAGACCGUUACAAAGGAUCACGUUGGUAAGGUGUAACCGCUAAGGUUUCUGGAUCAGCGACGAUGGGGCCCACCUCCGGGGGUACAAGACACACAGCACAGACCAAGCCGGAGGAGCAGGGACCAUUGAAGCUUACCACCCCUCUUGCCCACGCAGGUAAGUUACUCCCGAACCAACACGACCUAAUUAGUAAGUCAAGACCGUCCCAUUCUAGUCUUGUGGUUGCGCGAUUGUCCCAGGUUGUCGCUCUAUGAACCGGUCCUUAUGGAGAGUGGCCAACCAAGCACUAAGCACCGUGCUGGCCCCCUAAACCAUGUUUCUACAAAAACAUAUUUUUAAGGACGCGCAAACCACUCAAGCACACAACACAGAGGGUCGGCUCCAGAAUUAAGUUGCAUAUACCAUUAAUCAAAUUUAAUUAAAAAGGACCAAUUGUGAGAGCGCAGCACCUAGCAAAACUAACCACAAUGCAACCCAAAGGAUAUAUAUAAAGGAUAUAAAGGUGGCUAGGAAAUCCUUAUGGGCGUACAGAAUUAAAAUGCAGUAUGAAAUUGUAUUUAAAAGUGAUAGGAUGUUCAUGUUAUACUUGCCUUCCUCAAAGUUCUCCUGCUGCUGCUCAAAAACUUCAGAAGAUGGUGGCUCCUGGUACUCGUCCAAAGGCUCCGCGUCUACUCACGAUCACCAAGCAUGGUCCACACAUACACACAUGCACAGACAAUAGCAAACUAUAAAAAAAACAGUACACCAAUACAAUAGAACAGCACACAAAACUGGCCUAGAACUAUUCUACGCAUUACAACGAUCACGUGGACAUAAAGAACACCUAAAACGGAGCUAAAACGCGAAAUCUACGCUUGAAACAAGAUCCAGGGACCUUUCUGCGAGAAAAACUGGCUACAGGGGGGUUCUGGACAAAAACCAGGGGCUUAAACGCAAUUAAAGGGUAGACACAGGGGCUAACACGUGAAAACACAAGGCAUGGACUGCGGGCACUAAUUCCAGGAAGCUCAGGGGUCAAAAUGGAAGAAAAGGACCUGUCUGCGAAUACUUUUGAACUAGAGAUGGACGGCGGGUUAAUUCCCCAAAAGGGCAGGGGCUCUUUAACAAAACUGCCAUGGCUGAGGGGGGGUACGCGGUUUCUAAUCUGGGCGGUUGGAUCUAAAUCGAACGGUUCGGCGCAUUCCGGUUCGGACGGUCCGAUCUGAACAGCGGGGGUCCGAACGGUCCGAUCUGGACAGCGUGGUUCGGACUGGUCCGAUCCGGUAGAGCGUGGCCGGCAGCGUGGGGGGGGUCACUGGAGAUCGGUUUCCGCGGCGGCGUGCCGCCGGAGCUGGGCAAAAUCAAUGCUCCGGGGGUCAAAUCGAAUGGGGAUUGGGUCUGGAAGGUUCAGCGCGACCUGGGGAAACCACCUAAGGAUAAGGCGGAACGCGAGAAGGGCUCAGGCUGUGCGCACGAUGACGGGGGCGGGUCGGCACGGCGACGCAUCACCGGCGUGCGCGUUUCGGUCUAAGAGAGGGCUAAAGAUCUACGACAUCUAGUGCAAAAAGGACCAAGGAAUGGCGGGAAAGCUCACCCAGGUCUCGUGGUGGCCGGAGCUGCAGCGGAAGAUGGUCGGCGACGAGGUCCGAGCGGCGAAACAGGCGGCGCUCGUGGGGAAGGCUGCUGCAGAGAGGCUCGAGGUCCCUUGGACGUGCGGAUCGGUCGGGGAACUCCCUGCGGAGGUAACCAGGGGGUUAAGAUGGAUCAGGAUGCAACGACAAUGAGGAAUUCCGACGGCGGAGCAGCUCACCGUCGAAGGUUCCUUCGGGAAAUUCGGUCGAUGCCGAGGCGUAGGGCUUCGAUGCUGGGCUAGCGGAGCUUCGGGAUGGCGAGAGGGAGCGGACCCGGGGUUGUGGUGGUCUGGGGUGCAGCGGAACGGCCGGUCGGCAGUGAGGCCGAGGCGUCUGCGCGGCGGAGGGAAGAAGGAGGCGGCGGCGCUGCGGUUCUCCAGAGGUGCUGCUGCGGCUAGGUUUAGGGUUCUAGGGCGCGGAACCUUCUUGUAGGGCAGCGGCCCACAUUGGCAUGCGGGCCCGAAGCGAGAGAGCUUGCCAGAAGUUUCGGGGGCCGUUGCGCGGCCGGUAGAGGAAGAAGGAAGAAGGGGCCGACAGGUGGGGUCGAGCUGGGGAAAUGACUGAGAAAGAAGGAAUGACUGAGAAUAGAAGGAAUGACUGAGAAUAGAAGGAAUGACUGAGAGAAAAGAAGGAAUGACUGAGAGAAAAGAAGGAAUGACUGAGAAUAGAAGGAAUGACUGACCUACUUUCCUGUCUCCUCCCUUUUCUUUUUCAAACCAACUCGAUUCUAUUUGAAUUCAACCCCUAUGCACUCAACCAAAUAAAACUUAUGCACCAGCAUGAAUGCACAAACAUGUUGAACCUAAAAUAAAUUUUAGUUCUUUGUGAAUUAAAUUAUAAAUAAAUGCAAGCUAGGCAAAAUAAAUCCUUAAAAAAUUACUGGAGCCCAAUUAAAUUCAUUAUAGAUCUCGAAAUUUUACCUUAGGGUGUUACACGCGAUAUAGGAGUUGAUUGUUUACUAUUUUGCAAUCACUAUAAGGAUCACGGACGGGGUUAUGUGCAGUAUCAUGACUUAGAAUGGUACCCCAUCUGUGUUGAUCAAUUUGAUAAGGCUGCAGUGUGUGGUAGUGGUGGUGAAGUGUUUGAAAGUACUAGCCACAUACCGUAAAUAUGGUACGCAGUAAGCCUAGUACCUGAUUGGCCCGGCAAGUGGACAUAUCCCACACCACUCGAAUUUUCGUUAUGUACACACGCACCGACAUGUGGGAGUAUGUUCUGCAUAGCAGACGGGAGUACGAUCAUACAGUCACGCUGUAGACGUACGUCCUGCACAUUGGAUGUGCGUAUGGUCCUGCAGUUGCUUGUGGUGGUGCUGAUCCACAACCUGGAAUAUGAGGGGAAUGGUAGUCCGGAAAGGAAAGUUUCCGAGCAUGUGAGUUAGGAUCCCUUGUAAGGUUAUGAAAUUCGAUUCAGGAAUCGUCCAUUUCUCGCGGUGAUUGAGACUACUUGAUACUUCUGCCAUAUAGAGUACAAGAGCAACAGUUGAUGGAACAAUAUUGAUGUAUGCUUUAAUAUCUACCUUGCUUGUCUAGUAUAGAUGCUCACUUAGAAUGGUUAAUUGAACUAGAAUUUUAAAGCUAAAAUAUGCAAAUAAGGAUAUACUCUUUGUUAUUUUUCAGAAAAAGAAAAAGUAGAGCCUUUCAACCUCUCACGGUCUAGUUAUGGGCUAAGUAUACCCAAUUGACGGGUAAGCCUUGCUGAGUAUUAGUAUACUCAGGCUUGCUAGUAAUGUGGUUUUCAGGUAUGUCAUUCGAGGACUUAGUUGCUAGUUCUCCUUGGCCCUGCACUUUACCGCCUGGCUGGUCCGUGGAAUGGGAUCCGUCCCCGGCCAGCAAUGACUCUUCGGAAUGAUGCCAGCUUUGGGCUAAGUAUGGUGCCUGUUUUGCGACGAGUAGUCGCGUUGUUGUUUCUUUUCCGCUGCCAUCUCUGAAUAAUGUCCGUUAAAACUUGAAGUUUUCAAACAAUGUCUGUAUAAAUUUGUUUUAGUUAGGUUUGCAGUACUCGACCAGAACCCAGUUUGUAAUAACUACUUAUGCCUAUGUUGUAAAAAUAUGAUGGUGAUUGUAUCUCUGGAUUCGCCUUCGUGCGAGGUACGCUUGAACGAUCCGGAAUCCGGUGGUUUGAUCGUACCGAUCAAUAGUAUUUCUUUCAAUAUCUACUGGUGCUUCCAUGUCUCAUUGGACCGAUGCAAUUGUGUCUUUUGGUCACUUUAUUUUGGUUGAAGAUCGCGGAGCCUACUUCAUUCAGUCAGACGCUUUUUGACAACAAUUUAGAAAAGGUUCGGAAAACACUUCUUGGUGGUUUUCAAGGUCCACCUCCAUUCGUGUUUUGACUUCGUUUGUCAUCAAAGAUCAAUCACCAAUCAAGACAAACCGGGCGCUACGGUGAGACGUGAAAACACCCGAUCCCAUUCCGACCUCGAUAUAUAUGUGGAAUCGUCUUGCGCCAUAUGUACUGAAAUUGUUCGGGAGACAUGGUCAAAGCCCGGGUUGAAGCCCCUAAAGGGGAUUUCUUUCAGCCAACAUCCAGCCUUAGUGGCCCCUCUCUGAUAAGGUUUGAAAGUUUUCAAAACAAAAAAAAAUGACAAAUCUGGUCCGAUGGCUCUUCUCCACUAACCACAAGGAUAUCGGUACUCUAUAUUUCAUCUUCGGUGCCAUUGCAGGAG
rnacentral:lncRNA from 1 species